rnacentral:lncRNA from 1 species
AUGUUAUUGGUCCCCCAUGUGCAGAAGGGCGCGCGCGUAUGGAAUAACAAGUAGGGACACUGCAACUAAUCUACUCUGCUCGUCCAGUCCCUAGCCUAUAAAUAGAUGCCAUGCUAGCUCUUGUUGUGCUCACAAUUAAUCCGAUUACACACGAGCUUCUCUCCCUGGCCAAGACACAACCAUAGUAUGAUGAAGAACAUGGCACUAGCCGGCAAUGGUAUGAAGAAGUUAAUCCUCGCUGUUCUCUUACUGUGUCUAGUUAUAGGGCAGAUACAAGUGGAAGCUAAGAGCUGCUGCCCAUCCACCACUGCAAGAAAUGUCUACAAUACCUGCCGUUUCACGGGUACAUCCCGUCCAACGUGUGCAAAACUGUCAGGCUGCAAAAUUAUCAGCGGGAACAAAUGCAAGCCCCCUAACGACCACCUCACCCUUGACCCGGACACUGGUAAAUAAUAAAUUUAUCUCACUUGAUUUCUUCGUGAUUUGAGUCGUUAAUGUAUUUUCCAUCUGAUGAAACGUAUUGGUUUUGCAUUGAAGAGGAAGUUAAUGUGCUUAACUUCUGCAAGUUGGGGUGUGCGUCGUCUGUGUGCAACAACAUCAACGCUGGUAAGCAACUUUUGCUCAGACAGAGAAAACAAUAAUCAUUAAUUAGCGGCAGCUAGAAUCCUAUAAUCUAAUAUAUAUAUAUAUAUAUAAUUUUAUCAGCUCUGGGAAAUGAAGAGGCGAACGAUGCCGUUGAGAGUUGCGACCAAGCCUGCUCUAGCUUCUGCAGCGUGCAUGUUGGCAGCGCCACCGUGGUUGCUUAAGCAAAUGCAUCCAACUAGAUCGUCCUUGUGCUGAAUAAUUGGAUAUCGUAUCCACUUAAAGCUGCCUUGUGUAGUACGUCUUUGUGUCUCUCUUUAUAUUCCAAUAAGGUCGGUGAUCUUGAUGCCACACACUCAGAUGUGUGUUCAUCUCCAGAUACUACUCCAUGCUACCUGCCCUUUGUGUUUUGUUCAAUAACUGGGUAUCAUAUCCCAGCCAGUAUGCCGUCUGUUUUGUGUUUGUUUCCUUCUAGUUCCAAAGGGGUCAUCAUGAUGUUACCUUCUUUCAAUAUGGUGCUUUGCAUGACUACUGUUGUAUGGUACCAUCUUGUGGCCAAUAAGUACAUCUUAUCCUAUGACCUUUGCUAUGACCCUUUGCAAAUAAGUAGAAGAUUGUUAUAAGCGUCAAUACUCCGUAUAAAUUGAUCGCUGCUGUGAGUUCCCUUUCAGCUUAUCGUAGGCAUACAUUAUUGCUAGCACGGUAAAGCCAACCAACACGAAUGAUGAAGUAAACGUAGCGGUACUUCUGUAUACCAACACCCUUACUUAAAUGUACCGGUGUCAUUCCCUACUGGCACAUAUAUUCUUAUAUGCUAGCCAGCUUGUAAAAUUAACCAAUUAAAAUAAUUAUUUCAAGAUAGAAAUAACUUAUCGGUUUCUGGAAGCAUGUGUAAUGUGAAUUCAAGGACUCGACGGAAGUUGAAUCACUUCAUCUAUAUUGCUUUCAGUAUUUUGGGUAACUAAAUUUAACAUUUGCACAUACAAAUGUUAAAGUACAAAUGUUAAAUCUAGUUACCCAAGCAGAAUAUGAAGAUAGUUUAUAGUAUAUAUAUACUAUAUAAAUCUAGUUAACAUUUAGUCUAAAUGUUAAAUCUAGUUACCUAAAAUCCUGAAAGCAAAAUGUAUAAAUAUAUAUCUUUUAAGGCAGUAUAAGCUUCGAUUCCUAUUGCUGCUCUGUUAAAUCUCAUCUUUCGUUGUGGCCCAACACUCUAGUAUGCAUGUUGCACCAAGCUUCUUUGAGCCGCUCUGCCCUCUGAUUUUGCUGCGUAGGGGAAUCUUUAUCAGGUUGGGCUACUUCCAGUUGUGCGAUGUAAAGAUUCGUAUUUUCUAGAAGGUAGACAAAAAACUCGCGUUCUCUUAAGGCAACAACCGGAAGAUUCUGCAGCGCACAGGGCAUACCAUUAUUGUAGAAACGACCUUUAGUACCGAUCUCCAACCCCCUUUAAAACUGGUUUUGCAACCGGUACCGUUAUGUCGGUCCUUUAGUACCAGAUCAAAUAAGUACCGGUUGGUAACCAGUAUCAACUUGUUUUGCGGCCAAAAAAAUAAAGAAAAAAACAGUCAGAAGGCUCGCACACACGCGCAUCACAUGAAAUAUGCGUGUGCGGGGUCCAUGGGAUUCGAACCCAUGAAAUCAAGCUGCACGCGACCCUUCGUUACCAUCUCACCUACAUAGCGCAUAUGCUUUCCUGAAGUAACCCGUGGAGGAGGCUUUAGUACCGGGUCAUAACACCACCCGGUACUAAAAAUGACUCUUCAGUACCGGGUCAUAACACCACCUGAUACUAGUAUCGGAUGGUGUAAUGACCCGAUACUAAAAGGCCUCUAGGGACCCUCAAAUUUGAACCCGGUACUAAUGCUAAUAUUAGUAGCGGGUCAAAGUGCAGCCAGAACUAAAGCAUGGGAUGAAAGGUCAUAUUUCUAGUAGUGUAUAGUUGUUGUGAAGGACUGACUUGGCUGUCCUCUCUCUUCUCCAUCCCCUUGGUCUUACGCCGCCGCUCGCACGCGAGCCGGUGCCCAACCAGAGGAGUGAGAGCUAGGGGCAGGUUGGGAGGUGGGGAUAGUGACUGGUGGCCAGGGUGAUGGUUGAUCCUGGUGGGGUUAGGGUUUCAGGGUUUUCGAGCUUCCUAUGGUCGGCGAACCUAGAGGAGAAGCUCAACAUCAGCUGCAACCCGCGAUGGUGGUGGUUUGGCCGGCGCCCGAGGCGAGGCAGCGCGGGAGUGCUGCCGGUGGGUUGGUGUUGGCACUCAUUAUUGACAACUAUUUUGUUCAUAAAAUAACACUCAAACUUGCUGCUGCUGCUGCUGCCAUCGCCACCCUAGCCAUAAUAUAAAGGCAAAAUUUGCUAAAGGACAUGCAAAAUGAUGCUAGUUUGCUGGCGGGCAUCGUUGACCUUGUAAUAUGCUACAAGACACUCUAGUUGUGUAUCAAUUUGCUGAAAGACAUUGCUAUGACUAAAAUAAUGUUUCUGGACUGAGUUGGAGAGAGAGAUGGAGUGAAAUGUCUGUUUUGCCCAUGACCCCACUGGUCAGAUCCUUCUUCUUCCACCCUCCUUUGUUCUUUCUUCAACCAUUACCCAGCUCCAGCGUGUUGCAGAUCUACGAGGGUGGCGGCCUGGGGCGAGGGGCAUCGCUCGCCCUUGGAGGAGCGCUGCGAGCGACGGCGCGGGGGCGGCAACAGCGCGUCAGAACCUGACUGUUCGUUAGCUCCUCUCGCUGCUGGGGAAGAAGGAGGGGGAUGGGCCAUGGACGGGGUUCCCUUGAAAACCUCAGCGUCGAGCUCGGGCGGCUACGCGCAGGCAGCACUAGGCUGCUUCACGGGGAGGGGGCGCGGCCAAUCAUUGGCACCCCACUGGUCCAAUGCUGAUGAAGAUGGUGCCAGCGUCGUGUGAGGACAUCUCAUCUCCUCGAGUUCCAUGGCCAGCACAGGUGAGCUGCCGCUACCACAAAACAGAGGUUUCGUGAGAGUCAAAAAACCUUAUGAAAAUAGCUAAAACCAUCAUGAAAAUAAUCCGUGACAUGACACUCUCACGAAAAUCCUCUCACAAAUAUGGUGCCAUGAAAAUACCAUUUUCAUGAGAGUGAACUGUCAUGAUUUUAUAAGCGUCAAUACUCGGUAUAAAUUGACUACUGCUGUGAGUUCCCUUUCAGCUUAUCGUAGGCAUACAUUAUUGCUAGCACGGUAAAGAGAACCAACACGAAUGAUGAAGUAAACGUAGCGGAACUUUUGUAUACCAACACCCUUACGUACCGGUGUCAUUCCCCACUGCCACAUAUAUUCUUAUAUGCUAACCAGCUUUGAAAAUUAAGCGAUUAAAAUAAUUAUUUCAAGAUAGAAAUAACUUAUCGGCUUCUCGAAGCUUGUGUAAUGUGAAUUCAAGGACUCGAUGGAAGUUGAAUCGCUUCAUCUAGAUUGCUUUCAGGAUUUUGGGUAACUAAAUUUAACAUUUGCACACACAAAUGUUAAUGUACAAAUGUUAAAUCUAGUUACCCAAGCAGAAUAUGAAGAUACUCUAUAGUAUAUAUGUACUAUAUAAAUCUAGUAAACAUUUAGUCUAAAUGUUAAAUCUAGUUACCUAAAAUCCUAAAAGCAAAAUGUAUAAAUAUAUAUCUUUUAAGGCAGUAUAAGCUUCAAUUCUCUGUUAAAUCUCAUCUUUCGUUGUGGCCCAACACUCUAGUAUGCAUGUUGCACCAAGCUUCUUUGAGCCGCUCUGCCCUCUGAUUUUGCUGCGUAGGGGAAUCUUUAUCAGGUUGGGCUACUUCCAGUUGUGCGAUGUAAAGCUUCGUAUCUUUUAGAAGGUAGACAAAAUACCCGCGUUCUGGAAGAUUCUGCAACGUGCACGUUGGCGCUGCCACCGUGGUUGCUUAAGCAAAUGCAUCCAACUGAAUCGUCCUUAAGCUGAAUAAUUGGAUAUGGUAUCCACUGCUUAAAGCUGCCAUGUUUAGUACGUCUUUGUUUUUCUCUCUUUAUAUUCCAAUAAGGUCGGUGAUCUUGAUGCCACACACUCAGAUGUGUGUUUAUCUCCAGAUACUACUCCAUGCUACCUACCCUUUGUGUUUUGUUCAAUAACUGGGUAUCAUAUCCUAGCCAGUGUGCCAUCUGUUUUGUGUUUGUUUCCUUCUAGUUCCAAAGGGGUCAUCAUGAUGUUACCUUCUUUUGAGGUGUCUAUGAUGACUUCGUUAAUAUCAAUAUUAACCAAUUCAAUCUGUCUUAACUAUUUGUAAGGGGUAUGAUGUAUGCAUGAUUAUAACAAUGAUUGCGCAUACAAUCGCCGCCAAAGAAACGGUCAAUACCAUUAAGACAUAUUACAGACAAUUCUCAUAAUCUAUAAUGAAUAUACAUAUUCACUACUGCAGAAGACUGUCAUUUGUAUCGGCUCAUACGUGCCAGGGCAAAGGUCACCCUUGCAUUAAGUACAUUUGCACGGUAAAGACAACCAACACGAAUAAUGAAGUAAACAUGCCGGUGCUUUUGUACACCAACACGCUUACUUAAAUGUACUGGUGUCAUUCCUCACCGGUAGCCGGCUUGAAAAUUAACCAAUUAGAACAAUUAUUUAUUGUAUCGGUGUGAUUUUUGACCUAUUGGAAUAUGAAUUUGACCGUUACUGCAUUCGUCAAGACUCAAGAGAGAAAUAACUGAUCGGCUUCUUAGAGCGUGUGCAAUGUGAAAUCAAGGACUGGAUGGAAGUUGAAGCGCUAGCACUAGUAGAGAAACGACUUUCCAUCCACCCCCUUUUGUCCCGGUUUAAAGUUGGCUCGGGAUAAAAGGUUCACCAACCGGGACUAAAACUCAGUCACUGGUGGGAGGCUCACCAACCGGAACCUUUUAUCCCGGUUGCAAAGGCUAAUGGGAAAAAAAGACUCUGAGAGGCCUUUUAUCCCGGUUUGAAACACCAACCGGGAUAAAAGACCCCCCUUUUAUCCCGGUUGGUAACACCAACCGAGAUAAAAGGGUCAAGAGCCUUUUAUCCCGGUUGGAAACACCAACCGGGAUAAAAGACCCCCUUUUAUCCCGGUUGGUGUUUCAAACCGGGAUAAAAGGGCCCCCACGAGGUGACUGGAAGGUGACUGGAAGGGGAUUAAAUCGUGGGGGACCCUUUUAUCCCGGUUGGAAACACCAACCGGGAUAAAAGGGGGUCUUUUAUCCCGGUUGGUGUUUCCAACCGGGAUAAAAGGGUCCCCCACGAGUUAAUACAAAAGGAUAGUAUCCCCUACAUAGUCAGAUGUGGUGUGUAGGUGGGAUGGUAAGGAAGCUACGCGCGAGCUCCGGAAUUUUUUUUUUUUUUUUUUGCAGCGUCGGCGCUCUCUACCCUUUUAUCCCGGUUGGUAUUACCAACCGGGAUAAAAGGGGGUCUUUUGUCCCGGUUGAGUGACCCGGGAUAAAAGACCCCCCCUUUUUUCCCCGGUUAGUUUAUCCCGGAUGCAUUUUCGGGAUAAAAGCACCCUACCAACCGGGAUUAAAGCUCACUUCUCUACCAGUGUAGCUUCAUCUUCCGCUGCAAGUUAAUUGCUUGGAUAAGAAGUUGUAGCCGCUGCAAGUUAUAAAUAGUCCCGCUGAUGCUGUGCUCCGAAGUCUAUACUAUAUAUGCGGAAACUAGAUUGCUUUCAGGAUUUUGGGUAACUAAAUUUAACAUUUGUACAUAAAAAUGUUAGUUUACGAAUGUUAAAUCUAGUUACCCAAGCAGAACAAGAAGAUAGUAUAUAGUAUAUACUAUAUAAAUCAAGUUAACAAUUAGUCUAAAUGUUAUAUCUACUUACCCAAAAUAUUGAAAGCAAAGAAAGAAUAAGUAUAUAUCUUUUGUUGGAAAAUUGGUCCACGGAGAGGCCCAUUUAGGCCUCGUUCGUUUCACCGGGAUGGGAUUCCAGUCAGGAUUACUUCCAAGUUCGGUUUGAGUGAUUCCACCCGUGUCACUCAAUCCGGCUAGGAUUCAUUCUAUGGGUGAGGAGGUAUGGUUUCAAUCCAGGCCAUCUAAUGUAGAAGGAUUCCAAUCCAGGCCGGUUUUCGUUCCAGGCCAGACUAAAACGAACAACACUUUCAAUGCAAGUCUGGUUUCAAACCGGGCCAUUUCAAACCACCCGGAAUGGACCUCGUUCCAGGCCAAUCCGGUGAAAACAAAUGAGGCCUUAAUGGAAUCCCAAAGCAAGAGUUCAGUGGCAUUCUAUAGUCCCAUGCUGCUAGUUUGAGUUGGUCGAAGCCAACUUAAAUAGGAGAGCUCUCUCACUUCUCUAAAUACGUAACUGAAGGAGAGAAGGGGGCUUGGGUUACACAACGCACGCACGCACGCAUAUUUGCGUUCUUUUCGCGUAACCAACCGCGUGACUUGAAACUUGCGACGUAGCGUGCUGCUAAGUCAAGUUGAUAUAACCUUUUUGCCGUUUGCAUGUAAUCUUUUGACAACGGUCAUUGGAGGUGAUAAGCACGCAGUCAAUACCUUAAUCUUGAGUUAAUAGGGUGGUUACUACUGCCAAUUAGUGGGGCAAUUUUGUAGGGGAAACGGUUAGCAGAGGGCUACCGUCUUCUCUAUAAGAAGUUCUGGAGACGUCCAGGAACACACAUGUACAUGUGAGAGACCCACAAAUUCCUUCCCUUCUCCCUUUUCCAUGUGGUGAAGUGUGCUGUGGUACUGAGCUGCUUGAUCUCGCCGCUCUUCUCCUUGGCAUGCACCGAGGAGGAGGGUGAGCGGUAUCUCCGAGCUAUUGCCGUCAGGAAGCCUGCACGAGGGACAACAAAAAGUUUUUGGGUAGCGCAACUGCCAGCACAACUCUCCCUCCGCCUCUUCUUCACGGUUGAUGGCCACCACAAGCAUAAACCUCGCCUUCGCAUCCACGCAAAAGGGUCGCUGGGGUGCCUUCUUGCAUCGCUUCUCAGCCUCCUUGACUUGCGGCCAGCCAAGAACUGCGCCACCACCUCGGGUGCACGCCACCACUCCAGGGCUGCUACCCCAUGCCUGCGGCCGCCGCCGGCCACCACGCGUGUGCAACCGCGUCGCACCGCUUCCUUGCUUUGUGCCACCACUGCUGCUGUACCACCAGCUCCACCACCUUGGGCUGGUCGCCAGAGUGACUGAUAACUUAUUAUCUGUAACUACUAUUAACUCAGGGAUACAUGCGUCUUUUGCUUCUCCUACUAAUAUGUCCUAAAAUAUCUAGGAUGCCUUAUAUUUCUGGACAGAGGAAGUAUUUGAAUAAAAUGAACCAAUUUAAAAAAAUGUGUUGUACACUACUACAGAAAGACCUAUCAGUGUCAAACCCAAAAAUGUUGUCACCGCCAGUUUUGGGCAUCAUUGGUGAAAGGUUGGCGGUGAUGGGCUUUCCCUUCAACAACGGCACUGGAGCCGACGGUGAUUGACAUUAGAAAACAAAAAAGGGGACCCUACCUAGCCACCCCUGCAACCCGGCCGGCCGUGCCUCCCCUCAUCCCCACCACCUCGCCUCCCCAUGACCCCCCGCCGGCGCCCUUGCGCCUAGCCCCCUCAACUGCCCAGCCGGCCACCCUCAUCACGAGAGAGAGGUGCAUGUUGUAUAAUUGCGUGAAUUUUUUAAUGUUUAAUUUCAUGUAAGUUCCGUGUAAUAAAUUGUACAAGUUUUAUUGUAUAUAUGAAUUCCAUAUAUAUAUAUAUAUAUUUAUAAUUUAAUGUAUGGUUUCAUGUGUAUAUUUCAAUCAUGUGUAUAUUUAGUAGAUUGCCGAUUUUCUUUUUCUACUAGACAAGGGUUGAUGUAUAAUUACGUGUAUAUGUUUAUUGUACGGGCAAUUAGGACAAGUUUUGUAUAAAUUUCUUUUAUUUGAUGGUUGUUGUAUGGUUUCAUGUAUAUACAUUUAUUGUACUACUUUAGACAAUUUUUAAUUUAAUGUUUCUAUGAUUAGAUGUGUGUAUAACUAAUUGUAUUAUUAGUUAAGAUGGGAGCUAAAGAGGAUGAAAGGUAUAUAAUGGAGCAGAUUAUUGCUAGCUCAAACGUUGCAAGAACCUACACCGAGGGUGAGGGUAGCUAGGUGGACAUGUACCUCAACAUGUCCAGUGAUGGCAAUGACGAUGAGGAGCACGAGCAUGACAUCUAUGAUAAUGCGGAACAAGACAUUGCAGAAUUGGAAGGUUCUAAUGAGGUGUGCUUCAUGUUGACAAUCUAGUUGGCUUUUUUUCGUUGGUCACACCUUAGUUACCAUAGAACUUCGUCUCGGGAGAAGAUUGGUGGUGGUAUGGUGAUUGGAAUUUUAUUUCCACGAAAUCUGAUUUCCAUCGAAUCAUAUCCCUUGUAUUUAUCUUCUUUUUAUUUGUGAGAGCAUCUUCUUUAUGCUUGCAAAACAAUUCAAGUGCACAUACUACCCCUAGGGUGACGAUUGGGAGUAGAAAUAAUUGCCAACAAAACAACACCACAUCCUAAGAUUCUUAACUUGUGGCAUAAUUAGUCUAGUAAAAAGAAAGAUAAAAACCUAAUGGGUGUAUGUGAGUGCAAUGUGUAUAUGCAUAUGAGUGGAAGGCAUAUAAGCAAAGACAAUAUUUACACAUAGUUCUAAACACCAUGUUUACAGCUAGGUUGCUGAAUUUCUCCAUAGCCAUAGAGAUUAAUUAACCAAGGUCAAAACACGAUGUCUAUCCCAAGAUCAGUAAUUAUUUAUAGCACAAGAAAAAGAAAGCGCAUUGCAAAGUUUAUAAACCAACCAAUACAGCAUGAAAACAAGAUGAAUAGCUAGCAAGGUUUAUUAAACUGAAUGAUGACGGUCUGUAAGCAAGUUUAAACACCAUCUUUACACAAGAUUGCAAAUGGAAAAUGCCCAUAUGAAGCACUAACAUGGAUAUGAAAUCAUUCAUCAUAAAGCGUAAAGAACAACCAAGCCAACCAUAUGCAAAGCAUGAAUGGAAUGCAAUGAAGGUGCAAGAGAACAUUUUUGGAUGAACACAUUAUGAUGAUGGCAAAAUGCAAUGCAUGCAGAAAAAAUAAAUAUGAACAUGAAUAUGAUGAUCAGGGGCGGACCCACUAUUGUGGCCUGGGUAUUCCUCGGCAUACCCAAUAUUUUUGGGAAAAUGUUUAGUAGUUUUUAAUGGCAUAUACAUGUAUAAUAUAGUUUAGGUGUUAAAAUUGAUAUUCACAGCUAUUUUGGGCUCCAAUUCGCGUCCAAACCAACCUGGCCCACAGACCGCACCCGGCCGCCCGGCCCAUCGGCCCAUCUUGUCACUGAUCCUCCCACCACCACACUCAGCCCGUCAGUUAGUCAGGUCCCGAGCUCCUGCCUGACCUAGUCCGCUACCACCGCCAGGCGCCAGGCACAGCUGUACACGCCGCCCCCGUCCACCCACGUCCGCCGCACGGCCGCGUCGCGCCCCCCCCCGGCGCCCGCUGCUGCCAGAACCCAUUAGGCCUCCACCGGCAAGUCCACCCACAGUCCCGCGCGACGCGGCAGCCUCUUGGCUCUCGGCGCUCGCGGCGCGCCAAUGCCUGCGCAGCCCCAGCAGGCGACUGCCCCCCCCCCCCCCGCAUCGGGCCUCGGCCCCUCCCCAGCUCCCCCUCCCCCCUCCACCAGGACUGCCUGCUGGCCCCCACCGCGAGGUAAUCGAAAUGGACUGCUCAAUCUCUCAAUCUGUUGACAUGAUGCACACGGUUGCAAAAAUAGAUGUGUCAAAAUAGAUGUAUUGCCAAUUGCUAUAGAUGCAUAUGGUUGACAUGAAGAAGUCAAAAAUGACAUUUGGUUCCUUGUAGGCAGUCAAAAAUGAAGAAGUCAAACAAUAUUGAUCUGAAAUCAAUGCGGGAAAGGGCUACGAAGACACACGGGUAGAUUCCCUUGUGAACUUUUUAUGUCGUUCGUCUAAAUAUAUUUUUGCAAUGGGCAUACCCUACUCUGAAAUCCUGGGUCCGCCACUGAUGAUGAUGGUCUAAACAUAAAACAAGCCUAGAUUAAUUAGCUACAACUGAAAUUAAGCAAAGGUUAAUGUCAUUGACCCUAGCUCUAUCCUAGCUUUUACUAAAGUCCCGGCACAUAUAGUGGUUGGGCCCACUCUCUCUACUUCCCUCUCUGCUGCAUGCACACACACGAGCAACUGGAGGCCCAACAAAGCCCAGAAGGGUUCGGCCGAACCCGUCCGAUCCAGUCUGAGCGCCGCUCCCUCCCAGCCUUCGCGCAGAUGCUCCUCCAACGUUCCUUGACCCCUCCCUCAGUGUCCCAUUGGGUUUAACAUUGUAGGAGAGGAGUCCCUUUUUUAAAAUCUCAACCACCUCCUCUCCUCAUUCACUCCACUCUCAUCUCCAUCAAACUCACCAAGAUCCACAUCGGAAAUACCUGCUUACCACCAUGGCUGGCAAAGCCCUCGUCCCUUUCACCAACUUGGGCUUGACCAUUGAUCUCGAUGGGAAAAUCACUCCAGCAAAUGUCAUUGUCCCUGUCGGCGAUCUGGCGAUGGAGGAGGUCCAGGCACUAGAGGUCGAGCCCCUAGCCAUCAUACCGCCCAAGGGGUAAAGCAGGAGCAUGACAGGCGCUGCUAGGGGUUCAGCCGAACUCCCAGUUCAGCCAAACGAGGACGGCGUCGCCUCGGCCUCCCGCUCGACUGCAUGCUUCCCCUUGCCAAGGAGGACUCCAGAACAGCGGGCGCGUGCGUCAAGUCCCUACAAAAGGCUGAAAUACAAUGAAUAUCCAGGGUCACCCUUGAAGAUGGGUGAACGCUACGCCGGGUCCUUGUUUGACUAGUACGGCGAUGCAUUCUGCCACCGCUAUGUCGUUGUCGAGAUUAGCGGAUCAAGACUUAGACUAGUAAAUUUCUUUUAUGCGCGUAAGGCUUCAGAUGGUGGCGUGGGAGACAUGGGUUUUAUACUAGUUCGGGCAAUGGAAUACCCUACGUCCAGUGUCUGGAGCUGCUUGUGUUGCCCACGCGGGGUUCUGUAGUAGGGGUUACAGGUGUGCGAGAGAGGGAGCUAAUCCCAGGUCUCUUAGGCGUGUUCCGGUCCUCUAGAUGGGAGAAGUGUGUUCUGUUUGCUUGGGAGUAUCGGUUGUGUCUGAGUUGUCUCCGGAGCCUCCUCCCGUCUCAGGUCCCCGAUUCUCCUUUCAUAGCACAAGGAGACCAUCGGGGUUACAGACGAGACCGAGCGUGGGGAGGAGUAAAGAGAUAAACAUAGCUAGGUAAAAAUACAACAAGAAAGGGGGGAACCAAGUUUCUAGGUCACCGGCGUCCUCGCCGGCCUUCGACUUCCGCCGGCGCAUUUGUCGGAGGAGGGUGGCCGCCAUCGCGUUCUGUCGAUGGCUUCCUCGGUGACUGUAGCCACCGGGCGUGAUGAUGGCAUUUCGUCGUGACCCUUUGUCUGUUGGGGGAGGCGGCGGAUCCUGCCAUUCUGCUGACGGCUCGCGGAGUGCGAACGUCGCAUCCCUGCCGCUGGGCACGCGGGGCGCGAGAACGUGCGAGGCUUCCCCCUACCCCAGGCGGCGCAGGCCAUGAGUGCCCUGUGGCAAAUCGGAGGAGGCCGCAGCUACUGUAGCUUGUACUGUGCAGCCACGUAUGGGUACUUGUGGCAGGUUGCGUGGUGGAUGCGGAUAUCCUUCUCCCUGACAGAUCUGCGGCGCAUUUAUGGCGAGAUCGACAUGGGGACCCACAAGACCCGCGCCCAAGGCGGAUACUUGUCUGGAGGGCCCGGGUUAGCCUGACCCCCUACGCUUGGGGUCGGGCGAGGCGGAGACUUGCGGCGGGGCGUCGGACGCUCCCGACACUAGACCUGCGGUCGCGCAAGGCGGAGCUUGGUCUUCCGGGGGUCGGGGGUGCCGGACCCCAGGAUGCGGGGUCGGGCGAGGUGGAGCGUAAUUCUUGCCUCCCAUGUUGGGCCGAUGGCAGUCUUUGUUACCUCUAGUGGGCUUGGGCCUUUAUGUUUUGUUGUUUCCAUGGGCUUCGAGAGGUCGUUAAUAUUUCCCCCCAACAGUAGCCCCCGAGCCUGUGGUGGAGUGGGGGCGCUCCUCCGGAGGCUACUAUCAUCGCCCCUAGGGAAUCCUCGCAGUUGAUCCGGGAUAGGAGGUGUUGUUUGCACGGCUUGACCGAGGGGGUCGAUUAGGCGACGCAUCCUGUGAGCGACUCGGUGCGGGAGGGUUUCUUGUUGUUCCCUUCUGUCUGAGAGCCUUAAGUCGAGACCACCUGCGUGGCCUUUGGUUGCAAGGCCAGCCCCCGAGCCCCCGCACGUUGCAGGGGACCGGUCGGAGGCUAGGUCGACUUUUGUUCAUUACCCUCAAGCGUCUGUUCGCUAGGACGGAGGGGGCGAGCCGUGCCAUGCUAUCCUCAUCGGACGAACCAUGGUGCUCAUUGAGUUACUAACGGGUUGAUUCGAGUGGGAUCCCGGUCCCCGUUCGGGGGGGGUCCGGCUUGGGCCAAGCUGGUGGCGUACCCCAGGCUCCGGUCGGCCAGUUCAUAUAGUUCCUGAGUCCGUUCGGUCGGACCGGGGGCUCAUUGCCUUUCUUCGGGGAAAAACCAUGAACUUUGAUGCCGGUCCAGACUCGAAUGUGAGAUUGAGACGCCCGGGGCUGUCGCGUGCCCGGGUGAUGGCCGCUAGCGGACCCGUCUCCUCUCACCCCUCACUCGGGGGUAUCCUGAGGCGGCUGUCGAACCCGUGGCGGGCCAGCCUUCGAACCUCUGGAUCGUAAUGGGCCGUAGGGGCGUUUUCAGCCCCGUAUCCCUUUUUACCUUUUGGUGGGCCUUGGGCCGAAUCAUGGAGGAGGUCGGGCCUUGGGCCGGAUGCGGAGGAUGUCGUGCCUUGGGCCGGAUGUGGGGGACGUCGUGCGUGUCUUCCGGGAGACGAAGUGGUGGAGGGUGCCAACCCGCGAAUCGAGGGAGGAGGGGAUGUUUCUACUGCAGGUCAUGCGCACGGUUUCCGAAAAGGCAGCGGGCGUGACGGGACGUACCUCGCGCCGCAUUUAUUGCGAUGGGGGCGUCUGUUCUGCUUCCCUCGUGCCUUCCCUAUAAAACGAGGACUUCGCCUCGCCGGUUCCGCCCGCCAUCUACCUUCAAGCCUUUUCGCCUCCUCGCGCGCCCUUAGCUUUCCUGUGCCCGCUUCGUCUUCCUCCGCCCAGUGCCGCGCCCUUUCUCCCCAUCCGCCGUCGAGUUCUUCUCCCUCCGGCGAUGGGAUCCUGGGCGCGUUCCCACUUCGGCCCCUCACGCGCCGAAGGCCUAGUGAGGAAAGGCCUCCUUUGCGAGAGGACGGAGACGGAUGAGUGGGGGUUCCCUGAGAUGGAAGAGGUGCCGACUCCGCCCACCGGCUACGUCGUUUCCUUUGCCCACUUCCACGAGAGGGGGUUUGCGACUCCGCCGAGCCUCUUCUUCCGCGGGCUUUUGUAUUACUACGGGCUUGAGCUGCAGCACCUCAACCCCAACGGGAUUCAGCACGUCGCGGCGUUCGUUGCGGUGUGCGAGGGGUUCCUGGGCAUUGAGCCCAACUUCUCGCUGUGGAAGUACUUCUUCACGGUCAGCCUAUACCAGAAGGCCGAGAAGAGGGGAAGCCAGCAGCGGUCGACCCCGGUGCCGAUAGGGUGCGUCGGAAUCCACCUCUGCCAUACUCGCGCCAAGGAGUAUAUCGCGAUGAAGACCGCGGCAUCCCACAAGGGGUGGCACCAGCAAUGGUUCUACGUGAAGAACUACUCCAACCCCCCCUGCCGGAGUUCACCGGCCGCAUUAUUGAAGCGGCGCCGGAGGUGUGGGUGUACGGCCCGGUGGAGAAGGAGAAGAAGCGGAUCACCGGCCUGCUGCAGGCCAUCGAGCACCUGAAGGAGAGGGGACUGACCGGAGCCGGAGUCAUCGGGGCGUACCACGCCCGGCGGGUGGCGCCGCUGAUGCUCCGGGUCCGCUCGCUCGCCGACAUGACCCCCGGUGCUCUCACCGAUGGCACUGUCCUCGCGACGGGUGCUCUCGCUGCCUCCGAGAUCCGGCAGCGGAUCCGGGAGGCGCUGGAGGACAAGGACGCCGAUUACCCGGUGCCCGGCCACCCUCCGAUGCGCCCGGACGAGAAUUUCAUUGAUCUGGUAAGGAUUUUGCGCGCCAGUUUCCCUCUCUUGCGUUUCUUGGUAUGCCGUUCUGACGCGAGGCCCUCUGUGUUUGCAGGGUAGCAUGACCCGGGUCGUCGACUUGCGUCCGCCAGUGUCGGAGGACGCCGAGUGGCGGUAGCAGAACCGUCUCCUUGCCGAGAAGCAAAAGUGACGCAAGGACAAGAGACAGCGAAGAAGAAGAAGAGGGCCGCCAAGGAGUUCCAGCGGCGGCGGUGGGGAUAGGUCGUGUCGGAUGACGAUGACGAUGAGAAGGAGGAGGAGGAUGACGAGGAGGAGGAGGAGUUUAUCCUGUCCCCCCGGUCAGGGGCGCUUGUUAUCCGGGAGCCGCGCUCCCAAGCGGCCAUGGGGGACAAGGCGGGCGAGCUGCCUGCCCGGACCCGAUCCUGCGAAGCUUUGGGGGCGCGCCCCAGGGGUCGGCGCAGAGCGCCCCCCGGGGGUCGACGGAGCCGACCCCCAUCCCUACACCUGCAGCCCAGGAGCAGAGGAGCAGCGACAAGCGGCCGUUGCCAGAUGCCCCGGGGUCGGCGUCCAGCUCAGAGGCGAAGCGCGCGCGCCGCCCUUGCGCUGGGGGAACGUGAGUUGAAUUUCCUUGCGAAUCUCGUUCCUUUCCAUGCAUUGUGUUUGUUUCCGCUGAUGCUGUUUGUUGUCUCACAGCACCGCCCCUCAAGGCCUUGUCCCGCCGUUGGCGCCAAAGAAGGCGUUGCGGUGUUGUCGCCUCUGCGGGGCGGACCGCGGCUCCGCCGGCGGCGAGUGGCGGGGUCACUGGUGAGACCGCGGGUCCUACCGCGGAGGUGGCCCCUGCGGCGGCAACCGGUGGAGUGGUGCCACCGCCGGGCAUGGGACAGGGUCUGGACCCCGCUCCGUCCUCCGCCUCUUCGGCCGACCCCGCGGUGCAGAGUAUCGCUCCUGGGGGCCCUCAGGCCGGGGAGGUGAUUGACCUCGACGCCGACGAGGUGGAGGAGACGGCGGCGGUGGAGACGGGGGCGGUUGCCCCAGCGGCCAUGACGGGGACGACGACGGCGACGGGGGAAGGAGAGUCUACCCCCGCGGCCACGGCGGGGACAGUGGCGACAGAGGAGGCGGGGACGCCCGCCCCGGCGGCUGCGACGGAGGAGGCGGCGGUGACGGAGACGGGGGCUUCCGCCCGGGAAGCCACAGCCGAGGUGGCAGCGGCGACGGAGGUGAAAGUGCCUGUUCUGGAGGCCACGGUGGGGGUGGGGACGCCUGCCUCGUGGCCACGACGGAGGGCGAGGCGGCCCCAGGGACACUUGCUCCGGCACCCGCGUUGGAGGCGGUGGCGCCGACGGGUUGGCCCGUGGCGGCCUCGACGGGGGCGGGGGUGCGUGCGCCGGGACCGUCGGUGAGGCCGGCGACUUCCGGGAUGGUGGUGCCCGUCUUGACGGCGGCGGCGGCGCGGUCGGCCCCCGCCCUUGCCUCUACCACUCCCAUUCCCAAGGCGUGGAGCGGAUCCGUCCUGCGUUGGUCGUCUCGUGACGACCCGCAGAGGCCCCUCUUCACGUUGGAUGAUGCCACAGAAUGGGGCAAGUGGCAGGCGCUGCAGGGCGGACUCGCUAACGUCCGCGCCGCUCUAUCUUCGGCGUUGGGGGAGCUGGACGGCGUCAUCUUCCCCGGUGGCCGGGUAUGGUGCUUUCUCCGUUGGUUAUUUUCUUCCCGUUACUUCGUCCCUGAUGGCACAUUGUUCUGCAGGCCCUCCAAGAAUGUAGCCGGGGAAAAUCUGAUUUCCUUUGGCUCGAGCAGGGGCUCUGGGAGCGCUUCAACUUGGAGUUGCAGCGGACCGGGGAGCUGACCAUGCAAGUCGCCACCGUCUAGCAUGUCAUCGACGAUCUGCGAAGGCACGAGCAGGCGGCACAGGAGGACGCGCGGCGGGCGGAGGCCAAGUUCCAGGUCGUUGCCGAAAGGGCUCGCUGCGACCGCGAGGAGUUCCAGGCCGUUGCCGAAAAGGCCCGCCACGACGCUGAGGAGCUCGCACGGCUGAAGGUGCAGCAUGAAGCUCUUCAGAAGAGCGGCAGAGGGCCUGGCAGGACCGGGACGCCGAGAAGGUCCGGAAGGAGGAGGCUGAGAAGGUGGCGGCCAACCUUGGGGCUGAGGUCAGCCAGCUCCAAGUGCAAGCGCGAGAGCUUCAGGCCUCCGUGGCCCAGGGGCUCGACCAGGAGCGCCAGCUGAAGGCCUAAUCCGAGGGUAUGACUCUGUUUAUUUCUUUGUCUUUGUGAUGUUGCGGUGAUAUUUUAUUUGGCGGGUUCUUCUGGAUGAUCCUUGCAGAUGAGCUCAACUGGCUGAGGGAGGUGCUUGACGCGGAGCGCGCUGAGCACGGCGACCUGCGGGACGCGGUCCGCGUCAUCUGUGACUUCCUUAGUGUGGUCCAGGGGGAGGGGACGAGCUCGCUGGCGGCUCGUGUCCUCGGGACGUACCGCCGGACCAGCGAGAUCGCCCUGGAAGCGCUUCGCACCGGCUUGAGGCAAGCCUUUGGGGUCUUCGGCUCCCACUAUUCCGGCAUCAACUUCGCCGGGAUGAGCGGGGGAUACGCCACCGGCUACUACGAGGCCGAGCUGGAUGAGAUCGACGUGUCGGUGCUCAGCCCGGCGGAGGCCUUGGUGAAGCUCCUCGAGGAUGAGGCCGUCCCGCCCGAAGAUCCCCGGACGAGUUAACUAUAUCGGGCUGGCGCCCCAGAUGUAAAUACGUUAGGGAAAGACUUGUUUUUUGUGAGGGCCGUAGAGGCCUUUUCUAUGAAUUGUCGUAAAAAAGUUUUUGAUUCCCUUUCUUGCUUUUUGGACUUGGAAAGUUUAGAGCACGUUGUCGGGCGUGUCAGUAAGCUUUGAUGAGCGAAGGCACCGUAGCCGCUGGGGCGUCGUUUUUUUUGCAGUCCGAUCAAUCUUGCCUGAACACCGUUCGUGCACUUUCUCCUUUUUAUGCCCAAAAGUUCAGAAAGAGGGUCGGCUCGGAAAGAGAAAGCGUUUUGAGAGGGUGUCAAGUGGCUUAGGUACUUGCGGCAGGUUGCGUGGUGGACGCGGAUAUCCUUCUCCCUGACAGAUCUGCGGCGCAUUUAUGGUGAGAUCAACAUGGGGACCCACAAGACCCGCGCCCAAGGCGGAUACUUGUCUGGAGGGCCCGGGUUAGCCCGACCCCCUACGCUUGGGGUCAGGCGAGGCGGAGACUUGCGGCGGGGGGUUGGACGCUCCUGACCCUAGACCUGCGGUCGGGCGAGGCGGAGCUUGGUCUUCCAGGGGUCGGGGGCGCCUUACCCCGGGAUGCGGGGUCGGGCGAGGCGGAGCGUAAUUCUUGCCUCCCAUGUUGGGCCGACGGCAAUCUUUGUUACCUUGGGUGGGCCUGGGCCUUUAUGUUUUGUUGUUUCCAUGGGCUUCGAGAGGUCGUUAAUAUUUCCCCCCAACACUAUGAGGAGGACUUGUGGGCAGAAAGUCAGCUACCACAAACUUGCCUCUGAAUAUUUGGAGUGCAAACAUUGGAUGGUGGUUGUGGAGAGCCCCAGCCAUACCUCGCACCCGUGGAGAGGUAAUUGUCGGAUUGCUUGGUUCGUCUCUAGAAUGCGACAAGGUCAGGCGCCACCUCUCACUGCUGCCAGUCAGAAGGCCGAGGGGCCAGUUUCAACAUAGUAAUGAGAAUCUCCGAAGGCCAAUAUGGUUAAGCAGCUAACCUCCAUGAUCAUAGACUUACGUUUAGAAAAUAGGAGGCUUAGCGAUGCGUUAACAGAGCAGAAGUUAGAAACAGAAGAACUUAAGGACGACUUCCGUGUCCUCCGCCUUGGUCUUUGUGCUAAGAUAAAGCGCUUGUACAAUGCCACGGGGAAUGACGGUCUCUACGAUGCAGCUCAAUAGACGUGCCCCUUGUAUCCUUUCCUUUAGGCACUUUAGAAUAUGUUUAUUUGUUUUCCUUCAUUUUAAUUUCCAAUAGAUUGUUAGCGCCUCCAAUUUAAUUUCAAUAAAGUGUAGACUCACCGGUCAUCCAACUUGAUGGAGUCCUUUUGUCACCUAGUUGUCUUUGGAAGAAGUAGCUGGGUACAAAAUAAGUGUGGGGGAGAGCCACAGACUCUCUAGAGCUGAAACAAUGCACAACACCCACAAAUAGAGAAAACCACGCUGCACCAGCACGUACGUGAAAGUGGAGCCAGAGCUGGACCCAUAGGGGUUUGGCCAACCCAAGGGGUGGCCCACUCGGGCCAUCUUCAUCCACCGCGUCGGUUUGUGUCUCUUUACCCCUGAUCUCCCUGAUUCAUGAGUUUGAAUGAAUUUUAAAUCUGAUCAACUAAUUCAAACUCAACUAAAAUGAAUCAACUGCUCCACCUGCUCUACAUGUUUUCUAUGGUUGGCUUGCAUAUGUUUUAUUUCAUGCUUAUCAUCUUGAUGCUUGUGAACAAAUAUCUUUAGGACAGCAUGCUCAUCUAAGUAGUUGAUGUGUAUGAUAUGGUUCGAUGAUAUGAUCUUCACUCUUAAUGCUUAAGUGCUUGGGAAAAUCUAUUUGAAAAUUUAAAAGCCUUUUUGAAAUCUCCUCUUUGAUGUGCCAAAGUCCUACCAAAGCCAUAUGAUAAGUUAUCUUGAAAAACCAUUUGCAUAUGUUGCUUGUCUUUGCAUUGAGCUUUGUCAAAUUGGUGUGACCCUUGUCACAAUUCUUUUCAUACUUUCAUGAUCAAGACUCAUGUGCACGCCAUAUACCCCUUGCUAUGCUUCUAUGAGAUGUUAGCAUUGUACCAUCCAUUCAUUCCACAAAAUAAAUGCUCCACCAUAUGUGUUGGUCUCCUUCUAAGAUUAUUGUUACAAAAGAGAUAUGGGCUAUCAAAAAAAAAUAUGAAUGUCCAAGAAAGUUGGACACAUGAAUGUCCAAUAAAAAGAAAAAGAAAGAUAGCCAUGUCCUCAGAAAUAUUUACAAAGGGAGAGAGAUCAUACAAAAAGGAGUUUCCAUUCCAUCCACCACAUCCAUACAUGUGCACAUCUUGAUCUGAUUGUAUGACUUAUUUUUCUCUUUGGAUCUGGUCUUUGACUUUGCAAUAUAUGUGAUGCAAGCAUGCCUUAUCCUUCAUAGCCUACCUUGAGCUCCACAUAUAGCCAUCAUUAGAAGUAGGAUGAAGAAAGGCAAGUCUAAUGCCUUGGUGAGGACAUAUACACAUUGAGUGAUCUGAGAGAAUCAAAUGAGGAGCUAAGCAAGGUUUUGUUUUGAAAACUAAUUGAAAAAUCCCAAGCUACUUGGCAUAAGGAGUUGAGGUGACUUGAUUCAAGACCAUUACAUUCCUCAACUACCCAAGAUGGCAUGAUAGACACUCCAAAGUUCACAAGUGCAGGUAUGGUUUGGAAUAUCUUUUAGGCUCGCUUCAUACCUUUGAAAGUUAUGUUUCACCUUAGUCCUUUCUCGUUCACUCAAGGAUAAGCAAAGGCUAAGUGUGGGGGUGUUGUUGAUGGCUCUUAAGUACAAAAUCUGCGCCAUCAACUCUUGCAUAAACACAUAAAAUAUGAGCAUCAACAAUAGUGGUAGGAGUUAUUACAAACGAAUUCCACAAGUCUUGGUGAAUAUUUGUAUGCAAGCCCAAUAGGAGAGAAAAGACACCUCAAAAGCAAGGAAACACACUCUCAACCAAUCAAGAGCAAGCACAUGGAACCAUGGGCCCACAACCAAAAGGAAAUCGACUACAUUCCAAACACCCUAUACCCACAUGAGAACCCAUAGGGCAGUGACCCAGAGCAAAGGUGAUGCCAGAGUGUAGAUGGUAGUUAGCAUGCCAAAUUUUGAACCGCAAGCGCUCGGAUUAGUUGUUUCUUUUCCCUUAGAGAUUCCCCCAAGGUUUAUCAAUCCAUGGAACAAGGGAUUUGCACGUUUCACUAAGCACUAAUCAAUGUAAUUGAAAGCUUUUCGAAUAAGAUAUGAUUAUGCUAACAAAGGAACUAAGCAAUCUAGAUUAAGAUGGAUAGAGAGUACAGGUUGUGAACAAGAUAGAUUAAACGCUUGUAGAUGCAAUCACCAUGCAUGAAUGAAUUAGAUCUAGGUGUUAUUGUGAGUGGUUGUGAACCAUGCCCAACACUUUCCCACCCGCAACAUUGUCACUACAUGUGGGUACUCAACUAUCGGAACAUAAGAACACAUCAAGAUGAUCAUUCUAGGUAAGCAAAUAAGCAACCCAAAGUAGCGCUGGCCAGCCUUUUCAUGAAAGAGCAUCAUCAAGAUAAGAUUGAUAACAAAAUAGAUCUCAACCAAAGGUUCAGCGAUUACAAAUCAAGAUCUUCGUAUAACCCCGAUGACAAAUAGAGGUAUUACCCCCAUGAUCUUACACAUGUUGAUGAAUUUUAGGGUAAAGGACACCCUGUAGAUCAACUGGACCAAAGAUGAUGAUGAACGGGGGCAGGGAAGGCCCAGGUUGAUCAGCCUGCGCACUUUUGAGCCGAUCAGCUCAGGGGGUUUCCUCCUCCCCUGGUGCUCCUCUUCGCGUGGCCUCCUCUGGAUCCAAUCUUCUCUUCAUUUCUCCUACUUGUGGCGGCAAUGGAUGGUGUUUGCAUGGUGAUUUCCUCUUCUCCCCAACUCUCCCUCCUUGAAGUCCAUGAGGGGGUAUUAAUAGUCUCCAAUAGGCGGCAGCUCUGGGUCAAUGUCAGUGAAAAAAUCCUAGAGAUCAUCGUACACUUCAUGCUGAGGAAACAAGAGGUUGACCGAGCCCUGGGAUAGACCAAGAGGAUCAUCCUAGAGGGUCCCAGGCUAAUCGGUCUAGGCCCUUCCUAGCCCUUCUAGUCCUCUCCUUCCUCGUGCUGGCUUUUCUCGAUGACCCUUGUCCAAAUAUCCAUGAAGCUCUAUAUACAUACCCCCUUGAUUAUGUUGUAUUUCCUGUCAAAAUACAAUGCUCCAAAAUACAACACAUAUGCAAUAAUAGGGUUAUUUCAGGUGCCAAUUGGUGGGUUAGUAUACGAAUAAGCAUGAAAAUACUGUUUAAAUGACACUAAAAGUGUGUCAAUAACGAGCACCAACAAUCCCCCCACGCUUAGAUCUUGCUCGUCCUCGAGCAAGUCUAGCGACUAAAAGAUCUUGAAUUAAACCUGAGCAAGCGAGUCAAGUACCUAGCCUUGAAACAAAAGAUUAGAGGAGCAGCAAAGAUAAUCAAAGUCUGGGUGUUCAAAGAUUUAUCUAAGCAAAGAUUCCCCUACAACUAUUAUUCAGAACCAAGUAACUUCAAAAAUCAACUACACUUAUUUUCUGGCUUUUUUCAGAGGGUUUUUCUUUCAUCAUAAAACAAUCUCCCUGCAACAAAAUUGAAAAAAGAAUUAUUUUCAAGGUGCUUACAUGUCGCUUAAAUGAAUGUUGGCUAUCCUACUUAUUUGCAAGCUCUCAUCUCUCAAAAUUCAUUCAAUUAUAUGGUGGAGUUUGGGUAAGGUUAGCUAGAAUCAACACGUAUAUUAUUGAAUUAAGAAAACCCUCUAACGGUGGCCUACCUUCCGAGCCAUUGAUCAUAAGAAUAUCCACAUAAUGUGAAGUUUUCAAGGAUGAGAAGAUAUAGAAUGGUGGACAUGUGCAAAGGCAAAGAAAUAUAGUGACUCUGAGGCACAAGCAAUGUCCUCGUCGUUGGAUUGCAUAUGGUUGUAAUGAAAAUAUGUUCCUUAAACAAGUCUAUCUUUUCUUUGCACCACUCUUGAUCUUCAUGACAGUAAAAACUCCUCCUUUAUUUCUUUCUCUCUUUUCCUAUUAUUUCUUUUUAUUUGUCUCAAUACUUUUAUUUCUUUAUUUCUUUAUUUUAAUCUCUUCUCUGAACCUCUUCUGAACACCACAUAAUAAAAAUAAGUUUUAGAUCCUUCCAGAGACCUUCCAGGAAUUUGCUACAUGAAAACCGAGGCAAGGAGACCCCAGGCCGAUUGGCCUAGCCACUCCUUUGCUCUCCUCUAGCUCUUCUUUCUGGUGAAGCUUCCUUAUCUUGUAUCUUUCCAAAAAUUUCAUAAAGCUCGACUAGAAACGGAACAGAUCUUCAUAUAAUGAGUUGUGUUCAAGGAAUUGGUAAUAAAAUUGAGAAAUUUGUGGUUCGGGUUUACGAAUUCAGUACAAAAAUAUGAUUGUUCCAAUGAAGAACUCUCAUUACUGAAUAUUGACGAGGCAAGCAUUCAAAGAUGGUAAAAAGGAUAUGAUCAAUUCUCAAAAUUAAAGCAAACCAAGAGAGAGCGAUCCUAAUUCAAUUCAAAGUGUCAAAUGUUGCUUAUGGUGGUAUGAAUAAAUAUUUUUAGGCAUUGGGUAGGAUAAAUAAAAACUCUCAACCUGGUUAAAAGAUAUUGAUCAAUCUUGUUUUUGCAGAGGUUUUAAAUAAAAAAUAAAAUUUUAAAUCACCUCCAAUUCAAAGCCUUACUCAUAAAUCAUAAUCAAAACUGAAGCACUUGAUCAUCAUAAAGCAUGGGUAUUGCAUAAACAAAUCGAUUACUAAAACUCCACAACUACGAUUUAGAAUUCAAGACAAUGCUCAUAAUCUAAAGUUGCAAAGAUAAAAUAAAAGACAACCAAGCCAAGGUAGACACUAAAAACACUUGCACGAUCCUUGAAUUUUAUUCAUGCUUCUUCUCACAAAGACGCUAAAGUAGCCAUGUAGGCCUAAGUCUUCCCAAAAGCUUAAGAAAACUACUACUUUAUCUACUUUUGGUUGAAAUAAAAAGACUAAUCUAGACUCUCACAUGAUUCGACUCGACCAAAUUAGAUCCAAAAACUCAUACGAGCGACGAUCUCCCCCCCCUCACGCUUAAAAUCUACGACCUCCUCGUCGUAGCCAUAUGGAGUACAAGGAAAAGAAGCUUGUAAACGCUCUAAUGACGCUACCCGCACUACUUGCACACGGGAUGGUUGCUGCUUCCUUCGCUUUGUUCUUCCUCAUGUUGCUGCACAUCCCGAAGAGCUUCCUCACGUUCCUCUGCAAGAACUUGAACUCGUCCUCCUGACGGCGAUCAUUAUCUUCUGCCUUUUGAUCCAGAGCUUGUAAGGCUUGCAUGAUGUCAUCGAACGCAUCGAAGAGGUAGUGGAUGUUCUUCCUGCAAGCUGUGGAACAUGUACGAUCAUGCUCCUCCGAUUCUGGCCCGUCGUCUUCUAGAUCCUUCUCUUUGCCCUUGUCUUGACGGUGGCUAUCUUGCUCCUUGCUCGCCUUCUUGCCUUCAGCCCAAUCCCAGUACGUGUUGUCAUCUUCUUCAUCGUCACGGCCUGCAGCACCCUAUGAUCCAUUGUCUAUCUUGUAUGAAAGAAUCAGAAGCUUGUUCUCCUCAGGGUGUCUUGCGCGGUGCAGCGUUUGCAAGUGCAAGACUUGCUAGUUCCUUUUACACAUUGUAAUGUUCAUUGCAUGCUCUAAUUGUUCUACAUUUGUAAUUUCUUGGUGAAGUUUGGUUACUGAUCCACUGUUUGAUUAACUCUUGGGCCCAAACACUGUACUACUUCUGAUUAGAUAUCUGUAUCUUGACUUUGACCAAAAAAAAUAUCCGGCAGUUUUUGCCAUUAAAGUUUCAUAAAUCAUCUUGCAAAAAUCGUACUAUACAACAAGGGACGGUUUAUUAUAAAAUAUACGUUCCCCUUAUCACAUGCCACUUCCACUCAAAAGGCAACGAAUCAGUUUUCAAUCCUGAGUGAGCAAUUUGCUUUUAUUACCGAUGCCUCCUAUUCCCUUGUGCACCAAGUUUAUUUUGGAUAGGGCUGCAAAAAACGACUAACCAGCUCGGAUUCUCCACCUGCAAAACCGCAUCUGCAGCAACCAACCCCACGCGGUGGAAAAAAAAACAAAACCUAGAAACCGGACGGGGGUGGAUGUGGGGCUCGGAGCCCAAGCAAAAAACGGAUCGGGAGCGCCGGAGCAGGCCAUCACCGGAUGUUAGAGAUAGAAAAUGGUUGAAGUUUGGAGUGGAAAUCAAACAAGCCUUGGAGCAAAGGAAAAAAAAAGAUCAAACCACUCAAGCAUUCAUUUGAUUUAGAAAAGAGAACAUUUGUUAAGGUGGGGAGUUGAAAUCAUCUUUUAAUUAGUUCCACGUAUCUGGUAUCAUUACAGUUGGUUUACUUGUGUAAGUAUAAGUAGCUCUGCCGAAGCCUUUGCUCCUAUAAUUUAGUAACUAGUACAAAUGGAUCAAUAGGAAAAUCAAGUUGCAAUCAUUUCUCAGCCAACCAAACCUAUGUAAAUCAAAUUAUUGUCCAUGCCCGGCAUGCACAGGUGCCUGCCAUGCAUGCAUUGUUGCUCCAUUGUAAUAACCAUUAUUGUCCAUCGAUGUUGCAGCGCAUGUGUGCACUGUGCAGACACCAAGCAUCGAGAUUAUGUACUAGUAAGGUGUUGAAAUAAUGGGCCUAGCCCAUAAGUAAUUUCAGAAUUUCAAAUAAAUCUCAAAGGCCCAUGUGGGCAAGAGGUGGAGUGGUGCAAGUCUUUAGUCCCACAUUGCUAGUCGAGGGGAGGGAUGACCAACUUAAAUAUGGAAGUUGUCUCCACUCCUCCAAGCUAUGUGUGAAGGGCGCGGGCGCGAGGCACUUGCGUGAAUGGUCCGCCGAAAUCUGGCCCCCCUUGCGGGGGCGCGGCUUCCUUUUGCCGUUUUAUUUUUUGGUUACUUGGUCGUUAAGUCAUGGAAUCCUAACCGGUUUAGAUCACGAUCGUGAAGGUUUUUGGGAAGCGCUCUGCGCGACUGCUCGAUCGCUUCUUCCGCUUCGUCAAGUUCUUCGUCGACUCCUUCACCACGGCUCGUCUACCUCUUCGUCGCUCGGGCCUCACUCGUCGUCGCGAACAACGUCAGGCUGCUGAUCGUCGUCGCCUGCUGUAUCCGGUAGUCGUCCAGGAGCCGGUUUUCAUCAAGAAAGAAACGUACGGUCUCUUAACUCACAUUAUGUCUUCCAUACUAGCUAUUAUGAUUGUUGCAGUCUGAUAGCUCUGGAUAGUAUGGUAGAAUGUCUGAUUCUAUUUGCAAUGAUAGACUUGUCUAGAUCUUGCGUAGACAUGUCUAGUUUAAUCUGCUGCUUGUUCAUCAUAUUCAUGAUUUAUUUCUGGAUUAAGUUAAAACUAAAAGUGCUUAUAUAUCCAACAUAAGGUACCAAGAACACGUGAAGCACCCGGGGGAGGCUGCUCCACUCCGCAUGCACAGGUGGGCACGGCACCACUACUCGUCUCCUUCAGGCUGAGGAUAAGUGAUGUACGCUGAUCAACAGACCACGACGGAACCAGCAAUAAUAGUUUCAGCCUGCCUCACAGUAAUUAAUAUAUCCUGUAUCCUCCGAGGACCCCUCCCCUUAAUCUUGGCCUAUUGCAUCCAAUAAUGAUAUGUGUGUUUAUCCAAAUUUACGGCACCUUUGGCGGGGGUUCCACCCAGCUCCGCCCUCUCCACCUUCGGUACUCCAUGGGAAACCAUUCCUUUGGAAUCAAGGAAGCUUGAACAGUAUAACGAAUAAAGUUUCAUAUAUCCAUUUGAUUUCACAUGAAAUAAAAUAUUCUGUCAGAACCAAUGGUUUCACUGAAGCUCCAGGCAGCGAGCGAAGGGGUGAGAGAGGAUAACGCUUACUGUGUGUUACCAUCGCGUGCACCAUGGAUGACCAACGCGCAGCCGAGAUGAAACGGCGGACCUAAACAGGUCCUCGCUAUUUUUGCAGGUUCUCGACCAGGCCAGUUCUUUAGGCCAACCUAUCAUUCACGAGUUAAACAUACGGUGGCUGGAGAAAUGUUCUAUUCUUUUAAACAAUACCAGCUGGUUCCUCCGUUUUUAUUCCACCAAUACAAGCACCACCUUGUAACAUUUCCUAUGUUUUUUUUCCUUUCGUCUGUUUUCUCACUACAUGCGUUGCUCUUUCAUGCAUUUUUUUCCAUUCCUGUAUUCCAAAUAGGUCUACAUGAACACAAAAUGAACUAGGGGACAGAAAAAGCCAGUGAAGUUAGUUUUGAGCUUCACCAGCUACUUGCUACAUAAAGUGUGCUAUAGUCGCAGAAAAGCUAAGCUGGAUCAGACGUGGCCGAAACAAUGCCAAAGAGCUAGGUCCCUAGCUGAUGGCAACACAUCAGAUGACUAGCCUGCUUUUCUGUAAUAAUGAUAUUGAGCAAUACACUGCAUGGCUAACCUGCUUUACAAUAAUUGUCAUUUUAUAAUAUUGGUCAUCACGAGAGAUGCACAUUGCAUACACCGGCCCAUCCCUAUAAAUAGCCAAGCCUUUCAGCCAUCUUGGGCACCUCCUCUCAGGGCCUCGUCUCACCAUCAGACAUCUCGUUCCCAGUUAUAAUUUGCGAGGUUAGAUCAGGCUGCGCCAUGGCGUCCGCAACUGCUGUCAAGAUCGUCGCCACCUUCAUGCUGGUGCUGACCAUGGGCCACCUGAUGGCCGAAGCAUCACCGCAGCCUCGGCGUGUGCUUGCAGAAACGGAGCAUGCUGCGGUGUCCGGGAAUCCUGGCCUCCCAGGUGAUGCUAGCGUCAUGCAGGUCCUCGAACCCGCCCUAGUUUCUCGGCUUGCCUGCAAACCAGAGUGCACAGUCCCUUGGCCUCCUUUUGUAUGUAUCUGCUAGAUCCUCUUCCUGGCUCAACGGAACUUCAGGGAAAUGGCUGUGACGUCGGCCAAAGAAUAAAUUGGAUGAACAUAAUAUACCCCGGGUAGUGUAGCUUGGGCUUUUGUUGAGCGUCUGGUGCUAGUUGUAUUUUGUUUGCUCAUGUGGCUUUGCUUCUGGUUGCAUAUUGGCUUUCCUAUCGCUCUCUGUUGCAGCUAUGGUUUCUGCCAGGUGUGUGUUAAUGCGGUUUGUAAGCGGUGCUUGUUCCUACCUUCUGUUUUCAAUAAAAGAAGUCGGAGUCUCCCUCCGACUCUUGUUAUCAGUCAACAAAAAUGAGUUGUAUCAUAUAUAUCUGCGUCUUUUUUCUACGUAUCUUUGGGCUGCUUCAGCUGGAAGUUUAUCGUAAGUACGUGUAUCAGGAUGAUCGUUUGAAUUAAAACGAAAUGAUAAUGUGUGGCUGCUAGAAAUGGAAUGAGCAUCUUACUAUAUUACUAAUUGGAAGCCUCCACGUGAAGCCACCUAGAAAUUCUAGGUGGACGUUUUAAAAAAAACAAAACUCAUAGAAGCCUCCACCACCUAGGAAUCCUAGGUGGACACUCUAAAAAGAGACAAAUCCUAGAAAUUCUAAAAAAAGAAAAAAAUAAUAACAAUAAGAUUUUUUUGCAGUCAAUUACAUAUAUUUUUUUGAGACACCGUGCUGCUAGCUCUUGCCAUUGCGACCAGUAAAGCAAGCAGAUAGUAAGAUGACAUGCGUGUGGAUUGAUUAAAACAAAUUCAGUUAGUUGAUUCUAAAUCGUAUGUAUCCUAAAAGGAAGAUAUGUGCGUGCAUGGUCCCUAGCGAUGACAUGUAGACAUGUAUUGCAAUUUCUUUUUUAAAAAACAUGUCUAUCUCUAAACCAACAAACAGAAAAAAUAUCAAUCUAAAUCUAAAUCUCUUCCGUUCUCACACGCCUAUUAAAGAGAAGACAACCAAUCCCAUCCAUGUUCCAUAGAAUCCAUCUAAAAGCUUGCUCACUGCGGACGGCAUUUGACGGCAAAUCAAUGAAAGAUCAUCCUCUCCAAAUAGCUGGACGGCAUCACCAUCUUUAUCUCACCAACCUACAGAGCUACAACGAUGUUGUAGAGAUCAACUAGGUAACCUACCAAUCACCCUCCCCUUUUCUAUAUGCUCUAAAGAACACGUGGAGUAAUUAUAGGCCUAUAGGAGCCGACUAACCUAGAUUAAUAUGAAAAAUAUUCCAAUAUUAAAAGCAAGCAGAUAGUAAUACUUGCCUUUGACCAUUUUUCUAGAACUGUUAUUCCUAUUGAAUGUUCAAGUGCUACGGCCAGGCAUCGAAUGCCUGCACGGAACCUUCCUAUUGAAUGGUUACUCUAGAGAUCAACGCACCGCGAGACAUUUUUAUGGAAUUUGUUUGAUUCCCCUUCUACAAUUAGAUUAAUUUUUCAUGGCAUAUAUUACUACUAUUAAAUUAUUUGUUUAUUGUCGGGCCUGCUGCAUGUGUGGUAUAUAUGACUUGCUUCUCACCAUUGUUCUCAAACUAUUAUUCCUAUCGAAUCUUUCUAUCGAAAUAUAUUUUAAUUACUUGAUUGUUGUUUGUGUACCAUAACUUCUGUAUAGAAAAAUUCCAUGUUUGUAGAUAAUGUCUUUUGUAUAGAAAAAUAGCCCAAUUAGAUCCAUCACCAUCUUUUGCUUAUGUAGUUGAACAAGUUGCAAUGUUGAACAAAACUUUAAGUGAAAUUAGACCAGGAAAAGGAAUUGUGGAACAUUAAGGCAAGGGUAACCAGAUUGUGGAAUGCAACCUUACUCAGUAGUGGCGAACAAUUAAGUCUUGACAUGAUCCUUAUUGAUCAAAAGGUAUGAUAGAUGUUCACUUUGAUUGCAUUAUUGGUAUAAUUUUUGGUUUACAAAUUAUUAAUGAUGAUGCAAAAUUAGGGAACCAUGAUCCACGGUGUUAUCAAUAAGCCCUAUAUGAAAAAGUUCAAACCAUUGAUUGAAGAAGGCAAUGUGUACAUAAUUGCAAAUGUCAGAAUCACACCAGAACCACAGAAGUAUCGGCCAGUGGAAAAUGACAGGAUAGUCAACUUCUUACCCACAACUGCACUAAAAACGAUCAAAGAUACUGAAGACAUUCCAAAGUAUAGUUUUAACUUCAUGAGCACGGAUAUGCUUUCAGCAAGAAUAAAUGUGGACAUGUACCUAUUAGGUAAAACAUUACUGGCUUUUCAAUUUUUACACUUCCACUCAUUAAAUGACCAUCUAAUAAUAAUACAUAUUUAUGUUUCAUAGAUGUUAUAGGUAUCUCAGCUCACAUUGGACCGAUAGAAGAAACAAGGACAAACUUCGGAUUUACUAAAAUCCGUGAUAUUGUGCUCCUGAUCGAGUAAUUCUCUUUUCUUUUGUAGAAAACAACUACAAAACUUUCAACAUUUACAUGUAUGUUAUAGAACUUCUGUUGAACUAAAAAAUAUCUUCUACAGUGCCCCUACAAAUAAUUAAUUUCGUAGUUGGAUAUUUAAAAUAUUUAUUAUUCACUUUUAAAUUUGUGGCCAUGAAGUUAAAGUUAGAUUUUGGGGAGACAAAGUUGAGGAAGUUGAUGAUAAGACAAAAUCCCAUGUCAUUGCAAUAACAUCUACAACUGUGAGUAAAUUUGGCAGUAAGUCUUCAUUCAAUAUGAGUUAUUCAAUAUUAGUCAUUCAACAAACUAACCUCGUAAGAAAAAUAAAUAAUUGAUGUUUUAUCAGGGUAUUCUCUAUCGUCAACCAAUGCAACAAAACUUUAUGUAGAUCUACCUAUUCCUGAAACUAAGGAUGCACAUGAUAGGUGAGAAAAAUUAGAUAUUGUUUUUCUAUUUUAAUCUAUGUAGCAUGCACUCUAACAUGAUACAUUCUUUCAUAUGAUAAAAAAAUGUUAGUUCAAUUGAAAAUAUUGUCAAAGAGAUUCAUAUUGAGGACCAUCUAAAAGGGACAUUGGAAGACCAAAUGCAGUACAAUAGAAGAACUUUAGAAGAAUUAAAUUUCAUAUUAUUUGAAACAUCAAAUCAGGUAUGGAUUAGUAUGUUCAUUGUACACUAUACUAUUUAAAGACUUACAUACAUAAUGAUGGUAUUGUUCCUACUUUCAGGAUGAGGUAUUUACUAUUGAAGCAACAAUAAAUGAAAUUAAUGCAACAUAUGGUUGGUUGUCACACCCGAUUUUAAGGACAAAAUUGAGUGCAUUAAAUACAUGUGCACCAGGAUCAAGUUACACACAUCCUAUGAGUACCGUCCUUCUUUGGCACAAAGAUAACCGGUGCUCCCCAUGGUGAUGAACUAGGCCGAAUAAACUAUUUUGCUGAUAAUUCCUCUAGUUGUUGUUUCAAUUCUUUUAAUUGUUCAACCAACAUUCUAUAAGGACGUUUGGAGAUAGGUGCAGUACCAGGUAAAAGAUCAAUAGCAAAUUCAAUGUCGCGGUCAGGUGGCAUACCUGGUAAAUCGUCGGGGAACACAUCCGGAUAGUCACACACCACUUUGAUAUCUUCCAAGGAUUUUCCAGCCAACUGAUUAACUGCACAAUCUGCUGCUGAGGGUAGAGUAGCUACAAACUCCACUUUCUCUCCAUCAGGACCUGUUAGCAGAACUGUCCUCUUGGCACACUGAAUCGUUGCAUCAAAAGCGGCUAACCACCUCAUCCCCAGAAUUACAUCGAUUCCACUGGACUCAAGGACGAUAAGAUCAGCCGGAAACUCUAUACCCAUUAUUCUCAGUUUAACUUGUGGACAGAUGUAUUGAGCCUUCAUUGACCCCCCAGGUGAACUCACUAGCAUAUGACGCCUCAUGGUAUGCAUGGGUAAAUUAUGCUUUGCUACAUAAUGACUAGUGACAAAAGAAUGCGAUGCUCCAGAGUCAAAUAAAACUGAUGCGGGGGCAGAGUUGACAAAGAACAUACCAAGCACUACAUCUGGAGCCUCCUUAGCAGUCUCGGCUUCCAUGUGGUUCACCUUGCCACAAACAAAGCUUUGCUGCCCCUGAUUGCCUUGUGGGGUCUGGUUCCCAUUCCUCGGUUGCUGCAUCUGAUUCUGCCGAGGAGCACUGCUGUUCUGCACGGGGGUAGCUGGCCCACCUCUCUUAGGACAAGAGCUGGCAUAGUGACCAACCUCGCCACACUUGAAGCAGGUAGGACCCACUGGAGCAUUGGGCCUUGUUGGAGUGCCAGUAGGGGUCAUCUGGCGGUUCUGCGUAAAGCUUGGGCGCGGAGUCUGCAUAGUCUGCAUCCCUGGAUGCUGGAACUGAGGGCUAGGGCGCUGGAAUGACUGCUGAGCAGGGCGCGGAAAUGAGUGCUGCCAAAAAUUCCCACUCGGGCCCCCUGCGCGGAACGGCGUCCCUUGCUGUGGAGCAAAGCGAGGGCGGGUGUUGCUUCCUGAAGACUACUGGGAAUUGAAUUUCCUCUUCAUCUCCCCGAGCUCGUUCCUCUUGUGUUCCAGGCCAAUUGCCUUGUCUAGCAUCUUCUGGAAACUGGGGAAGGUGUGCGACAUAAGCUGAUAUUGGAGUGGUCCAAUCAACCCAUCCAAGAAUAGCUCCUGCUUCUGCUCAUCAUCAGCAACAUCUUCGGGAGCAUAUCGGGACAACUGGACAAACUUGUCCCUGUACUCUGCCACUGUCAUGUUCCCCUGCUUGAGAGCAAGGAACUCCUUCUUCUUAAGCUUCAUCAAUCCGGAAGGAAUAUGAUGACUUCUGAAGCUAGUCCUGAAUUCAUCCCAGGUGAUGCCAUUAGCAUUGGCAUGGGUGGUGGUGUAAGCAUCCCACCAAUCAGCAGCUGGCCCUUCCAGGCGUCCUGAAGCAUACAGGACCUUCUCCCUGUCAGUACAUUGGGCGAUAUCCAGCAUCUUCUCCACUGUUUUCAGCCAAUCAUCAGCAUCUAAUGGAUCCGGAGAAUGUGAAAACGUCGGGGGCUUGUGGCUCAUGAACUCCCUAUGCCUGUCCCUUGGCGGCGGCUGCUGCUGGUUGUUGUUGUUGUUAUUGUUCAGCUGAGCUUGUAAAGCUGCCACGGUGUUGGUCAGUCCGGCGAGAAGCUGAGUCUGAGCUGCUAGAAACUGCUCCAUCCCUGCAGGUGCUUGUUGGUUCUGUUGCGGAGCGGUGUUGGGAUUGCUGCUGUUGUCCCUGUGGCGUGGCACUGUGGGACGGUCAACUCCUGAUCCGGACCUGGUGUUUACCAUCUGAGCGUUAGAGACAAUGGAUUUAGAUAGAUGUGUGAAAGAAUAACUGAGAAAGAUAAAGCGACCAGAUGUAAAAGUAACACAGAUUCUGUUAGCUCCAUUUAAUUAGGUGUGGUCGUCAGAAGAAGUGUCCAUAAAUUCUGAACAAUUACCAAGUCGUAACUUAUUAAAUUUGUAAACCAACCCAACUGGAAUCAUCUCAAUCGGACUUCUGGAUCUCGAGUUACAAAAUUAACAAGCUGACAGUGUCGGUCGAUAGGUUCAGAUUCUGAGUGCUUUACUAAUUCGCAUACACCUCCCAGACAGAUACACCAAAAAUUCUGAAAAAUUUACAGAUAGUACUCCACGAAAUUCUGAAACUAACCCCACUGGUUUCAUGUCAUUUGGACUUCUGUAGCUAGAGAUAUAAAUAAAAAAGUACUGGCGUGUCAGUUAAUGUCGAGAACAGAAUUGAAUGUCGCUUAGCUUGCGUGAUGGAUAGAUUUAGACAGAUGGUAGAUCAUGAUUAAGGAAGAUUAAAUACUGAUUUAGAACAGAAAUAAAACCCAACUAAGCACUUUAUUUAUUAAGACCAGUAUCGUGUGGCAAUUGCCCCACAUACCGCACUCAUUACAAAAUCCAACUCAAACAUGUAGCACAAAACCAAUCAUCUAAGCACACUUUAACUAACACACUCGAACGACGUCUAACGAUUACAAGAAUUUAAACUAAAACACUCCUAAUUUCCUAGAGGUCUUCUGCGGCGGUGCCGGGCGAGUCGUAGCGGGGACGCUUAGGCGACGGCGACGAAGCGGGAUGAACAGCAAACUCCUGCGGCGGCGGUGCUCCCGUCGCGGCAGCCAUAUUCGCAUCCCUCUCCCACCGGAGUUCCUGAACCUCCUGUUGAAGCUCCUGGAUGUGGUUGUUUGCUUCAUUCAAUGCGGUGAGAGCUGCCGACGUGUACUUGCGGAGGAAGUCUGUAGCCAUGUCAACCCCAUCGUUAGUAGCGAUGAAGGUUCUUGCUUCCCCACUAGCUCGGUAAGGAAGGAACCGAUGGUAAGUGUGCUGCAAUCGCGGCCGUUCCUUGUGGGAGACGACCUCAAGUGCCCUCCUGGCGGCCUCGGCAAUGCCGGAUUCCAUGGUCCUCCUUAUGGUCACAUCAUGGUGAAAAGCCUUCACCUCCCAUCCUCCCUCGUGCUCCUCACGAAGGACAACCUUCACCUCCCAAAAAGUGGGAUAGCGAGGGUGGGUGAACCGGGAGCACUUGUAGAGUGGCCUCAUGCCGUACCCCAAGCGGUGACAAGUCCACCUGAGUAUGUCGGCCAUGUGCACUCCUUGGCCAUAAUCUUCCUUCACCCAUUUGAUCCAUGUCUCGGGCUCGGGAUCUGCUUCGGGCUCAUCAUCCGUCAAGUCGACGACCGGUACGGGCGUCGGGGCUGGUGCAGGAGCGGGCGCCGGUGCUGGCGACGGUGCUGGUGACGGCGUGGUCUCCUGCUCCACGGUCACGGCGUCCCCGUCAGAGUCAUCCCCCGGAUGCUGGAAGAUCUCUUCCUCUUCUUCCUCGUCCCAAGGCUCCAUGGGGGCGUACGACGGCGCGAUGCCAUGACGCGGCGGACGGGUGCUCUUGCGUGCGGUCAACCGGGUGCGAGCCAUCUAACAGAAAGAAAGAAGAAAAUUUUAGAAUAAAAUUUUGAACAAAGCUAGAUAAUAAAAUAGCAAUAAGGAUGAGACAAAUCAAGUUUAAGAAUAAUUAAGUAGAUUUAAAUUAAGAAAGGUAGGAAUGGCUACUAGAUUAUUAUAAUCCUUAAAUACGACCAUUUUCUAACUAGGCUAACGUCCUACAGUCAACACGGCUCUGGUACCACUUUUGUCACACCCGAUUUUAAGGACAAAAUCGAGUGCAUUAAAUACAUGUGCGCCAGGAUCAAGUUACACACAUGUACGACAAUAGUGAAUAGUAAAGCCAGUGCUAAAUCGAAUAAAGAGAGUAUUAACCAUUAUUACAUGACCGAAUGUCUCAAAUAAACCACAAAGUCUAAUUAUUACGCAGCGGAACUCCAAAGAUGACGACGACUCCAUAGGCAGCUGACUGAAGAAACGUACGCCUAGAACUCCUCGAAGUCGUGGAAGUACUCCUCUUCCCAAUUAACUUGGUCUGAACAGCGGUUUUGCAAGGGUGAGUACACUUAUGGUUGGUACUCAACAAGUCGUGGGAAGUAGUGUAGUGUAAGGCUAAUUCAAGGUAUGGCUAAGGCGUAAAUAGCAUUCGCUUUUAAUUAAGUUGGUCAAAUUUUAUUAGCAUUUACUAAGUAUAAGUUCAUACCACCCGAAAUUAAACAUGAACAUAAAGUAAACCACAUGUGCAUGAAAUGAUAACAAAUUAAAUCCAUCUUCCGAUAAUAUUAUCAUGUGAGGGUCCAGGCCGCUCUUAACCGUGAGCACGGCUGAUUGAUCAGUUUAACACUCUGCAGAGGUGGCACAUCUUUACCCACAAGUCGCGUAAAAGUUCAAAAGAACUUUGGACCCAACCAUGCGGUGUUUGCAAGGCACCAUACCACACUUCCGAGGUGUGAUUGCAUAGGGACGCUACGAGGCCUUUACAAAGAUUCAUUAAUCAGUGGUAACCCGCUAAGGUUUCGGUGUCUGGCGUGCACCACCCAUCCCAGGUAAAAUGCAACGACUCAGUCCCCCCCCUUGAAUCAUCACGAGUAAGGUCACCCCAGACUAAGGUUUCUAAUUAAUCAGCCAAGACCAGAGCUAUUUAGUCUUGUGGUAGCACUGUUUUCCUGGGUGGUCGCUCCAUGUUCUGAUUAACAAAUAAUGAUCUUGUCUUAAUGAAAGGUAUAACAGAAAUAAGGCAAGAUUAAGCAUUGUUUUUAGUUAAACCACCAUGUACCAAGUAAGCACUAAGCAUGAGCUACCCAACAUAAAGUAAACCGGUUGGUCAAGGCAAAGGUAAAACAAUCUAGGCCAACCUUAAUUGGGACCCAUCAAUUUAAUCUUAAUAUGUGCACAGCAUAAAUGUUGAGUACGAGAAAGUAAAGGUGUAUAGGACAAAAAGGUAGUGAUCAAGGACACGACUUGCCUUCUUGGCCUUGCUCCUGCUGUUCGUACUCCUCGAAGGCUUGAUCGGCAACUCCCUCGAACUGCGGGGCGUCUACACGCAUCACACGAGCACAUACAAGCAAACAUGGGCAAAAGUAAGAAAACAGUAUACCAAACAUAGUCAAACAGAGAAAACAAGCUUGAAAAGAUGAUCUACGCUUUAAAACGAACACGCGGAUAUAAAGAACGCGAAAAACGGAGUUAAGAUGCAAAAGAUAUGAUUAAAACAAAAUCCAGGGACUUUUCUGUAAGAAAAACAAAACUUUUAGGGCCUAUCCGCGAAAACCGAGGGCUUAUACGUAAUUAUGCGUAUAAACCGAGGGUCUGAUGCGUAAAAACAUCAAACCCGGACGGCGGGUUGAUUUCUGGAAAGGUCAAGGGUUAAACCGAAAAAUGCGAGGGCAGAUCUGUAAAUACUUUCAACGCGAUCUGGACCGCGGGUUGAUUUGCGAAAAAGGCGGGGGCUAAAGUGCAAAAACUGCACGGCGCGGCUCGGUUGACCGGUACGCGAUCUUGAUUGACUCGCGUCCGGCCGUCGGAUUAAGAUCCGACGGUCGCGGUGAUCCGCGACAUCGCGGCGGCGGCGGCGAGCGGCGGCGAGCGGCGGCAAGCGGCGGCGGGUCGCCGGAGUUAGGCAAAAUAGCGCCACGAGGCACGGUUUAACGCGCGGGUUGCACCAAAAAAGAGAGGGGAACACGUCGAUCCCGUUUUGGGGGUUCUUGUCGACGGGGGCUCACCGGCGACGGCGAACGGCGGCGAGGAAGAGGCGGCGGCGCUAGGAGCUCGGGCGGCUAGGGUUUCGGGGAGCUGCGGCGCUGGUUUUGGGCGGAGGAGACUGGGAGGAGGCGGCGGCUUUUAUAGGGCUUGGAGAUAGAGCCGGCGCGGGUUCAAAUCCCCCGGAGGAGUCGGAGCGGAUGGAGUCCGGGGCGGAGACGGCGCGCGGCGGUUGCGGAGUUCUGACCGGAUUCGGCCGGAGGUGGGAGACGAUGGGUGGGGUCCACCCGUCAGUGGCGGAGGGGAGCGGUAGACGGGCCGGCGCGACCGUGGGCUGGCGCGCGCUCGUGGGCUGCGGGGAGCGGGAGAGAAGCGGCGAGCGGGCGCUGGCGGAGCAGGCCGAGCGGAGGUAGAGCUGGGCCGCGGAGAAAAAGGAGGAGGCCGGCGGGCUGCUUCGCAGGCCGGUAAGGAUGAGGCGGCCGGGCCGAAGAAGAAAAAGAAAAGGAGGGACAAGGAGCUUUCGGCCGAGGGAAAAGAAGAAGAAAAAGAAAAGGAAGAAGAAAAGGGAAAAGGUUUUGGAAUUUGAAUUUAAAUCUGAAAUUCAAAAUUUGAUUCAAACUCAAGCAACCAAAAAUUAUGCUCCAGCAUGAAUGCACAAAUAAUUCCUAUGAUGAAUUAAUUGAAUUAAAGAAAAUGAAUUUAAAUGCCUAGAAAUUAAAUAACACCCUAAUUUGAGCAAAUUUUAAUGAAUUUGAAUUAUUGAAAUUUUGGGUGUUACAUUGGUACUACAUCUCAUGUAGUAGAGGCGAUUGUAAGAAGCAACUUGAAAAGAAGUUUGAUCACUACUAUUGCAAUAAAUGUGACAAGAGAGCCGAACCUAAAGCCCAGUAAAUUAUUUAGUAGUUUACAAUCUUAUUAUAAUACUUCUAUUUCUAAUAGGAGAAUAAUAUUUUCAGAUUCAAAUUAAGCUUCAAAUAAGUGAUCCAACAACAAGUGCAACUUGUGUACUUUUGACAAGGAAGCAGAAAUGAUAAUUAAUGAAUGAGCAGAUUCGAUGAUCACCUCAGUUGAUCAUGAUAAUAAGUAGCUACCAAAAUCAAUUCAGGAAAUAUGUGAAGAAACAUUGAUUUCUCAAUUCAGAUUGACCGAGUACAACUUGACAAGUUUUAGACCUGAUUAUACUGUUUCAAAGAUAUUUUUUCCAAAAGAAAAGGGCAGUUCAAGAAUUGGUAUGGAAAGUGUAAAAAAGGUAACACUUUAUUAUUAAUUUUUUAUUGCACUUUUUUCUUUUGAAUCCGUAAUACUUAAUAAUUUUACUAUAUCAAUGAAACAAAUUCUAACCUAAAUUUAUUUUCUUUUUUAUUAUUUGUAGGAAGUAGAAGACAACUCAGACAAAUGCUACACGAUAACUACCGAGAAUGAAGAGGUAGACACUGAUGACUCUUUUACCGAGAAAGUAACAUUCGUAGAAGAAGCCAUAAGGACUGGGGAAAGAUUGGCUAGAAAAGUAUACUCACUUCCAUGUCAGUGUUCAUUCUAUUUACAAUACAUGCAAAAAAAAUAUUAUUCAUGCAAAAUUGCAGGUCUACUAAGCAUUAAAGGAAUAGCGGAUAGUGCAAUAUGUAAUCUGAGCAGCAUGCAUUACAAAGUGCUCUACUGCAAUUAAAUUAAAAAACAUGAUAUAUGUUGAAUUCUUAGACUUUAUUAUUAUACUUUUCUACGUGACAAUUCACAAUUUUUUAGAAAAAAGAAGAUCCCAGAAGAAGUGACCAUGAAAAAAGGUCUAUGACCAGCAAUAAGAAAAAAUGCAAGCAUAGAAACAAAUCCGUAGAAAACAUAGAAAAUAAGGUACUCCAUAAACAAAAGUAUUCUCUUAUAUUUUUAUUAAAUAUUUUUUUAACACUUGACAAGUUCUUUUUUAGGAUCAAUAUAUCAGCAAUUCAGAUGUCAUUGGAGAUGAAACCUUAGUUCAUCCAAAAGGUCAAAAAAAAACAUCUGAAGAAAGGUGUUUGGCUGAAAAGGAAAAGCAAAAAAGUGGUAAUGCAGACAAACACAUGCAGAAAAAUAUAAAAACAUGUCAUAGGGAGGCAGACCAAUCUUGCAAGGAGGUAUAGACGAAACGUGAUACACGACCUGCCUACCUUGUCGUGGAUACCCCAAGAAGAUGUCAUAGAGGUGCAGACCAAGCUAGCAAGGAGGUCGAAACGUGAUACACGGCCUGCCUACCUUGCCGUGGAUAUUAGCCCUGAGAUCAUUCUACUGUUCAAGGAAUAACACUCAAUGCUGCUGCUGCUGCUGACCUGGCUCCAUAAAGUUAUACUCCUCUAGGUGCUUGCACUAACUUUAUCUGAAGUAUUAUUCUCUCUGCACUGUAUAUAUGGUUAUGGAGUUUGCUGGAGUAUCCGGGGCGAAGAACCUACAUAAUACGUCUUGGAACUAAUUGACAUUGAUUCACAGACAAACUCUACAAGGUGCUGUUCUUGCCAUUUUAGAGCAUCCAAAGGACUAUAAAUAACAUAGUUUACCAUAUACCAUAUACCAUAUACCAUAAUAUGUUAGCUAAAAUAAGAGCAUACACAUGUUGCAGGAGUCCAAAAGCACCGGUUGAGGACCAGGUACAUUGAAUUACUAGAAAAAGACAGGGGACAAGGUUUAGGUAACCACAUGAAACAUUUGAAUUUAUUGUACUAUGAACACUUAGUUACCAUGCCAGGAGCACAUAGUUAACACUAACAUUUAGCCACUUUAGAUCAUCCCGAAUCACCAAUGACCCUCAAUAGUGACAAAUUUUGGUUUAAAUGCCAUCACCAAUGAUCCUCAAUAGUGACGUAUUUAGGUUUAAAUCCCGUCACUAAUAACCCUCAAUAGUGACCUGUUUUGGUUUAAAUCUCAUUACCACUGAUCCUCAAUAGUGAUGUGUUUUAGCAAAACAUGUUAUCAAUGACUUGUCAUUGGUGACGUGUUAAAACGCGUUAUCUCAAUGGCAAAUCAUUGGUGACGUGUUAUCUCAAUGUUAUCAAUGUUCUAUUCUUUUCAACAAUACCAGCUCGUUCCUCCGUUUUUAUUCCACCAAUACAAGCACCACCUUGUAACAUUUCCUAUGUUUUUUUUCCUUUUGUCUGUUUUCUCACUACAUGCGUUGCUCUUUCAUGCAUUUUUUUCCAUUCCUGUAUUCCAAAUAGGUCUACAUGAACACAAAAUGAACUAGGGGACAGAAAAAGCCAGUGAAGCCAAUUUUGAGCUUCACCAGCUACUUGCUACAUAAAGUGUGCUAUAGUGACGUGUUUUAGCAAAACAUGUUAUCAAUGACUUGUCAUUGGUGACGUGUUAAAACGCGUUAUCUCACUGGCAAAUCAUUGGUGACGUGUUUUAAAAAAACAUGUCACCGUGAGAGUCAUUGGUGAAGGGUAAUUAAAAUGCGUCACUAAUGUUGUAGCAUUAGUUAUGAUAAUUUAGUAACGCAAAAAUCUACCAUCAGUAUUGAGCUUUAGAGCCAUCGCUAAUGUGGGUUUCUUACAUAGUGAUGCAAGCUCUACAAGGUGCUGUUGCUGCCAUUUUAAAGCAUCCCAUGACUACAUGUUAAUAACAUAGUUUACCAUAUAUCAUAAAAAUAUUAGUUACAAUAAGCACAUACGCAUGUGGAAGAGUCCGAAUGCACCGGUUGAGGACUAAACACAUUGAAUUACUAGAACCAAAUGUAUGUUUAGAACAAAGACAGGGGUCAAGGUUUGGGUAACCGCAUUAAAAACAUUGGAUUUUACUGUACAUGAACACUUAGUUACCAUUACCAUGCCUUGAGCACCUAGUUACAACAAACAUUAAUUUAGCCACUUUAGAGCUUCCAGAAUCGCUAUAAAUAAUAUACCUACGCCGUACCAUGAAAACAUCAAGAAGAGAGACGGAUACAUGGACCACCAUCAAGCGAGUAGUGACAGCACGCACAAGAAUACCCGGAACCUGUUAGCUUGUCUGUAGUGAUCUGUUUUCUUCCCCAUAAAAUCCAUGAGUAUUGCCACAAAUAAUGAAAGAGGCUGACCAAGCUAGCAAGGAGGUAGAGCAAACGUGAUACACGGCCUGCCAAGAUUGCCCUGGAUACGCCAAUAAGAGCGACAGAUACAUGGAUCACACCAAUAUGGUGAAACGUAUAUUCAUCACACAAGCAAAGCUGGUCAGUUUAUCCAUGGUCAAAUUGUGGUCUUUGUUUUCACUUGAGAGCUAAUUGAGGCACUAUAAUAUGGGCAGGCCUAUCUUCAACAGACAUGACAGCUACAGGGAACUUGACAUAAUUUGCUGGGCCGCCUGUGCACAAUUAUUUGUUUUAUUGUCCUUGCAUAGAAUGCUAAAAUACUCUUUACAAAAUGUUGGAUCUAAUAUUUGAAAUAUAGAGUAGUAAUCAUAUAUUGAUCAACAACUUGAAAUUAUCUGUACAUUCUCGGUGAAGCUGUUGAACUAAUUUUUGCAAAUUAUUAAUUCAUCUCAUUACGUAAAGAAAAAAGUAAGUGGAUAAGAUAUUUCGUGGACCACAUCACUGCAAACAUGUCAUGGAGAGACAGACCAAGGAGGCAGGACGUGAUACACGACUUACCCUAGGUUGCCGUGGAACCGCCAAGAAGAGAUACAGAUACAUGGACCACACCAUCUUGGGAGUAGUGACAGCAUAUAUGCAGAAGAAUACCCCGUGCCUAUUUGCAUGCAUGUCUCAAGUGAUCUGUUUUCUUCAGAAAAUACAUGAGCAUUGCCAGAAAGAAUGGCAAGAGACAAACAUGUCAUAGAGACUUGCAUGUCUUGCCUUGGAUACGCCAAGAAGAGGGACACAUACAUGGAUAACACAAAUCUAGUGACACGUAUAUUCAUCACAAAGGCAAAUCUGAUAAUUUUAUCCAUGGAGCAGACCAAGGAGAAAUUGAUGACGGACAUGUGAUCUCUGUAUUCAGUUGAAAGCUAAUUGAGCUACACUAAUAUGAGCAGGACUAUAUUCAAGAGACUUGUUGAGAGCUACAGGGAACUUGUAAUAAUUUGCUGGGCGGCCUGCGCACAAUGAUUUGUUAUACAUAGUUGAAAUAUUUCAAGAAUUUAUCAACCUCAUACUCUGAAACCCUUGGUGCAAUGUACUCUGCUUUCCGAGGUAGACUGUUCACGUAAAAUGAGGUCAUGCGUAAGACGGAAUCGGAUUGGAUUCACAGGGAAUCAGAUUUGGAUAGCACCUUUUAGCAGGUUUUUAGUCAAAUGCAAAUUCGGAUCCACAUGUGGUUGAAUGCGAGUUCAAAAUUCUACUUGGAUAUCCAUUUAAUUUAGGUGAUAGCAAUUAGCACAAAAUGUUGGAUGAACAAAAUCAUAGUUAGACAUACAAUUACAUGUAUGGUUAAAGUAUAAUACAAUACACCAAGAUUAUUCCUUGAAAAUAUUUCUUAAAAAUAUUAUAAUAAAUGAAUAAAUAUAAUUGUGGCCACCAACAAAUAGUCGGUGGUCGCUAAGUUGGAGCCAUUUCUGGUUACUAAUGCGGCCUUCUCCUCGACCAGCGACGACAGCUGAGCUUGUUCCUUCUGACACUAAAUCAUCAGAGUCUUCCCUCCACUACUAUAGAAUGCACCUUUAGCACCAAUUGGGAAAUCCCCUUCAGUAUUGGAUGCUGCAACCAGUGCUAUAUAUCAAAAUGGAGACUAAAAGCCUCGGUCUUGGGUACCGGUUGCAUAACGCAUUACUAAAGGAGGCAAAAGAGAAAUGUAACAAAAAAAAUAUUUUGAAUUCCAAGAAUGUUUCACUAUUCAAGAUGACUAGCUGAGAGUCAACAGACAAGAUACUAGGAAUGUGGGUGCUUGAAUGCAUUUGUACAGAGGUCAUACUAUUUACAAACUCUUCUAUGUUUCCAUAUGACUACCUACUUCAAUGUCACGCGAGCCAUUCAGCUGGACACAUGGCACACUAGCUUGCAUGUCGAAUCCAUGAUUAAUUAUUUGCACUUGUGAUCUCUUACCAGUAUUUGUCCAGACUAGAAACGUGCAACACAUUUUUAGGAUAUGGACACGCAUAUAUUUGGACUAGUAUACAGGUCACCUUUGGAUGCGUACAAGGAUGACCGGGAGGGACUAAUGGAUACAAGGAAGGGACCAUCAGGAUUAAUAUUGACAUAUGCCACAUGACAAUCUUCAUUGUCAUGCAAUCCCUAUCAACAAUCAUGGAAUCCCUAGUGUACUAAUCCCUGGAGGGUUGUGUGGAAAUUUAUUUUACCUUGCGGUGAAAAUCUCAUGAGCAGUCAUUAGUUAAGCUGACUAGCUGAGAUAUAAUAGACAAGCUAGUAAGAUUGGGAGCAUCAAUGCAUCCAUACAGGGUCACAAUAUCCUUUCCAUUCACUUUUAUAUAUAACCCUACGAAUACAAGUCCAACGAAAUGCGGGCCUUUCGAUCAAGAUAAAUUAAAUGGCCCACUUGUAUUUCUAAUCCAGGAUUAACUAUGCCCUCUGUUCAUCUCUUGCAAGCACGUGCAACACAUUUUCACGAUAUGGACAUGCAUGGAGGUUAUUAUACUGUUUGGACAAACUCUGAUGUGCCAUGACCUAAAUGCUUAGGGCCUGUUUGGUUUGAGUUGCUUAUUAUAAGCAACUUAAAGUUGCUUAAAGUUGCUUAUUUGAAGUUGCUUAUUUUUAGUCUAAACUGUUUGGAUACCCUUGCUUAUGAGCAUUGAAUGAGUUGGACAUUGUCAAAUUUGCCCCAUGUGUUGCUACCCCUCCAAUUUGCCUCCCCACCCUUCUUCUUCCUGCACACGUCCGAUCCCGGGGGCCGACGGCGGGCAGGGAGCAGCAGCAGCUGGCCAGGGCGGCGGUGGGGCGGGAGCGGCGGCGCACACCAGCACGCGCUCGCACGCCAGGUGCUAGGGCGCGGCGAGGCAGUCGUCGUAGCCCACCGGGAGCGGGUGCUCGGGCGCGAGGCGGUACUCGACGGAGAUGCCGAGCGUCGGGCGCGCGGCGGCGAGCGCGUUGAGGAAGCGAUGGUAGUGCGGCGACGUCGCGGACUCCGCCACGAAGCCGCCGCCGUGGACGUACACCACCACGGGCAGCUUCGUCUUGCCGUCGGCGGCCGCGGCCGCGGCCUGGGGUGGCAGGUAGAGGCGGACGGAGCAGGAGCCGAGGUCGACGUCCCUGGAGUCGACGCCCGUGGCGGCGUCCAGGCUGGGCCCGACCGGCGGCGGCACGAGCGGGCGCUCGAUGCGGCCGCUCUUGUAAAUCCGACGGGUCUGUGCGGAGGCGGGCGGCGGGCGGGAGCGGCGGGUGGGAGCGGCGGCAGGUGGUGCGGAGGCCGGCGGCGGCGGGUGGCGCGGAGGAAGGGGAGCUGGUGAGUGGUGACAGGGGAGGGGGGGAGAGAGAGGGGGGGUAGGGUGCAUUGAAUGAGGGCAGGAGGUGUAAAGUGCACCUUUUAGUCCCCAUGAGCAACCAUAAGCAGCCCAAGAGUUGCUUAUUUGCUUAUAAUAAGCAACCUCAUAAGCAAGAGUGAUUGGUUUCAUAAGCAACUUAUUUGCUUAUUUUAAGUUGCUUAUGCAUAAGCAUGUGAAACCAAGCAGGUCCUUAACCUAUGGUUGUGGCACCACACAGUACAUAGUAUUUAAUAAUGCUAUUCGUUUGGUAUGUGCACAAGGGCACGCAUGAAAUGUCUGGCCCACGGUAAACAAGUACGGACGCUGCAAAUAAUCUACUCUGCUCGUCCAGUCCCUAGCCUAUAAAUAGAUGCCAUGCUAGCUCUUGUUGUGCUCACAAUUAAUCCUGACUACACACGAGCUUCUCUCCCUGGCCAAGACACAAUCAUAGUAUGAUGAAGAACAUGGCACUAGCCGGCAAUGGUAUGAAGAACUUAAUCCUCGCUGUUCUCUUACUGUGUCUAGUUAUAGGGCAGAUACAAGUGGAAGCUAAGAGCUGCUGCCCAUCCAUUACUGCAAGAAAUAUCUACAAUGCCUGCCGUAUCACGGGUACAUCCCGUCCAACGUGUGCAAAACUGUCAGGCUGCAAAAUUAUCAGCGGGGACAAAUGCAAGCCCCCUAACGACCACCUCACCCUUGACCCGGACACUGGUAAAUAAUAAAUUUAUCUCACUUGAUUUCUUCGUGUUUUGAGUCGUUAAUGUAUUUUCCAUCUGAUGAAACGUAUUGGUUUUGCAUUGAAGAGGAAGUUAAUGUGCUUAACUUCUGCAAGUUGGGGUGUGCGUCGUCUGUGUGCAACAACAUCAACGCUGGUAAGCACCUUUUGCUCAGACGGAGAAAACAAUAAUCAUUAAUUAGCGGCAGCUAGAAUCCUAUAAUCUAAUAUAUUUAUAUAUAUAUAUAAUUUUAUCAGCUCUGGGAAAUGAAGAGGCGAACGAUGCCGUUGAGAGUUGCGACCAAGCCUGCUCUAGCUUCUGCAACGUGCACGUUGGCGCUGCCACCGUGGUUGCUUAAGCAAAUGCAUCCAACUGGAUCGUCCUUGUGCUAAAUAAUUGGAUAUCGUAUCCACUUAAAGCUGCCUUGUGUAGUACGUUUUUGUUUGUGUCUCUCUUUAUAUUCCAAUAAGGUCGGUGAUCUUGAUGCCACACACUCAGACGUGUGUUCAUCUCCAGAUACUACUCCAUGCUACCUGCCCUUUGUGUUUUGUUCAAUAACUGGGUAUCAUAUCCCAGCCAGUGUGCCAUCUGUUUUGUGUUUAUUUCCUUCUAGUUUCAAAGGGGUUAUCAUGAUGUUACCUUCUUUCGAUAUGGUGCUUUGCAUGACUACUGUUGUAUGGUACCAUCUUGUUGGCCAAUAAAUACAUCUUAUCCUAUGACCCUUUGCUAUGACCCUUUGCAAAUAAGUACAAGAUUGUUAAAUACUCGGUAUAAAUUGACUACUGCUGUGAGUUCCCUUUCAGCUUAUCGUAGGCAUACAUUAUUGCUAGCACGGUGAAGACAACCAACACGAAUGGUCAAGUAAACGUACCGGUACUUUUGUAUACCAACACCCUUGCUUAAAUGUACCGGUGUUACUCCCCACUAGCACAUAUAUUCUUAUAUGCUAGCCGGCUUGAAAAUUAACCGAUUAAAAUAAUUAUUUCAAGACAGAAAUAACUUAUCGGCUUCUCGAAGCAUGUGUAAUGUGAAUUCAAGGACUUGAUGGAAGUUGAAUCGCUUAAUCUAGAUUGCUUUCAGGAUUUUGGGUAACUAAAUUUAACAUUUGCACAUACAAAUGUUAAUGUACAAAUAUUAAAUAUAGUUACCCAAGCAGAAUAUGAAGAUACUCUAUAGUAUAUAUAUACUAUAUAAAUCUAGUUAACAUUUAGUCUAAAUGUUAAAUCUAGUUACCUAAAAUCCUGAAAGCAAAAUGUAUAAAUAUAUAUCUUUUAAGGAAUCCCAAAGCAAGAGUUCAGUGGCAUUCUAUAGUCCCAUGCUGCUAGUUUGAGUUGGUCGAAGCCAACUUAAAUAGGAGAGCUCUCUCACUUCUCUAAAUACGUAACUGAAGGAGAGAAGGGGGCUUGGUUACACAACGCACGCACGCACGCAUAUUUGCGUUCUUUUCGCGUAACCAACCGCGUGACUUGAAACUUGCGACGUAGCGUGCUGCCAAGUCAAGUUGAUAUAACCUUUUUGCCGUAGGCGUGUAAUCUUUUGACAACGGUCAUUGGAGGUGAUAAGCACGCAGUCAAUACCUUAAUCCUGAGUUAAUAGGGCGGUUACUACUGCCAAUUAGUGGGGCAAUUUUGUAGGGGAAACGGUUAGCAGAGGGCUACCAUCUUCUCUAUAAGAAGUUCUGGAGACGUCCAGGAACACACAUGUACAUGUGAGAGACCCACGAAUUCCUUCCCAUCUCCCUUUUCCAUCUGGUGAAGUGUGCUAUGGUACUGAGCUGCUGGAUCUCGCCGGCUCUUCUCCUUGGCGUGCACCGAGGAGGAGGGUGAGCGGUAUCUCCGAGCUAUUGCCGUCAGGAAGCCUGCACGAGGGACAACAAUAAAGUUUUUGGGUAGCGCAACUACGCAACCGCUCGAUUCGAUCGACUAUGUUCUGCGCUGCCUCAUCUUCGAUCUGCACUGCAACACGUAACCCUGCAGCAAGUCUACACAAGGACGGAGCACUAAUCUGUAAGUCCUAGAUUGGUUUCUUACAGAGUUGUAGGUUACACAAGAUCUAGAAUUGUUACAUACUUAUUAUUAUGGGUUACAUGAUGUUUUGUACGGUUACGUCUAUUUUGCAUAUGCUAUUUUUACAUACCGUUUACAUGCAUAUGUAAUGGUUACGCCUAGCUAUUUGAAUCUAGAAUUGGGUUACAUAGCAGUAGCAAUGACUUACGUAAUAUGCCUCAUGUUUAUAUCUGGUAGAAUUUAACACGUAUCUCCAACAUAUUUUGAGGCAGUAUAAAUUUCAAUUCCUUUUGCUGCUCUGUUAAAUCCCGUCUUUCGUGUGGCCCAACACUCUAGUAUGCAUGUAGCACCAAGCUUGUUUGAGCCGCUUUGUGCUCUGAUUUUGCUGUCUGUAUCAGGUUGGACUGUUUCUUUGUCUUGCGAUGUAUAGCUUCAUAUCUUCUAGAGGUUAGACAGCAAAACCCGCGUUCUCUUAAGGCAACAACUCGAAGAAUCUGCAGCGCUCCUGAUAUAUCACUGCUGCAGAAACAAUCUUUAGUACUGAUUUCCAACCCCCUUUAGUAUCGGUUUGGCAAUCAGUACCACUACGUCGGUACUAAAGGGAGUUCUCUAGAAUCGGGUCAAAUAACUGGUACUAAAAGUGCUCCUCUACUACCAGUUGGUAACACCAAUAGGUAGUAACUUUUUUUGCACCCAAAAAAUUAAAGAAAAACAGCCGGGAGGCUCGCGCACACACGCAUCAUGAGUAAUAUGCGCGUGCAUGGUUUGUGGGAUUCCAACCCACGACCAAGCUAUAAGCACGUAGUUACAAAAAAAUUAAACACUUAGACAUUUUAGAGCAUCCCAAAUAACUACAAAUUCUUUAGUUUACCAUAUACCAUAAAAUAUUAGUUAAAAUAAGAGCAUACGCACGUCGGAAGAGUCCCAAUGCACCGGUUGAGGAUCAGACCAGGCACUUUGAAUGCACAUGCCAUAAGAUAAUUCUGCAGGACGAUGAUUGCAAUAAUGGACCAUCGAGAAGAUAGGGGCGAUGGGGUUGCCUCAUCAAUUAUGACUUGGCGCAACAAGACCAGCAAAGUCUUUAUCGACAGGGGUGGAUCAAGGGGUGGGGCGGGUAGAGCUCCAAUCUUCCUACCGCCGCUCGAACAAUGGAGCCCCCCUUAGCCCCUCCAUAAAUUUUUAGGUAGAAGAAAAAAGAAGAGAAGGGAAGGAAGGGGAAGAAUAGGGAGCCCCUCCUAAGUAGGUCGCCAUCGUGCUUCCCAACGCAUGAUCGCCGCACCGCAUCCAUUCCUCUACAAGCCUCCAGCGUCUCUCCUGCCGCUACCUCUGAACCAUGUGCAGCUGCAGACCCAACUAGUGUCUUGUCACCCAUCUCAAUCCCAACAGAGCGGCGGCUCCUGCCAGCACAAAUCUCCCUCCGCCUGUUCUUCACGAUCGAUGGCCACCACAAGCAUAAACCUCGCCUUCGCAUCCACGCAAAAGGGUCGCCGGUGUGCCUUCUCGCAUCGCUUCUCAGCCUCCUUCACUUGCGGCUGGCCAAGAACCGUGCCACCACCUCGGGUGCGCGCCACCGCUCCAGGGCCGCUACCCCAUGCGUGCGGCCGCCGCCGGCCACCACGCGUGUGCAACCGUGUCGCACCGCUUCCCUGCUCUGUGCCACCACUGCUACUGCACCACCAGCUCCACCACCUUGGGCUGGUCGCCAGGGUGACUGAUUGGUGGAUUAUUACUACAAAUAAGUUCCUUAUUAUCUGCAACUACUAUUAACUCAGGGAUACAUGCGUCUUUUGCUUCUCCUGUUAAUAUGUCCUAAAAUAUCUAGAAUGCCUUAUAUUUCUGGACGGAGGAAGUAUUUGAAUAAAAUGAACCAAUUUUAAAAAAUGUGUUGUACACUACUACAGAAAGAACUAUCAGUGUCAAACCCAAAAAUGUCGUCACUGCCAGUUUUGGGCAUCGUUGGUGAAAGGUUGGCGGUGAUGGGUAUCCCCUUCAACAACGGCACUAGAGCUAACAGUGAUUGACAUUAGAAAACGAAAAAGGGGACCCACCUAGCCACCCCUGCAACCCGGCUGGCCGUGCCUCCCGUCAUCCCCACCACCUCGCCUCCCCCGUGACCCCCCGCCGGCGCCCUUGCGCCUAGCCCCCUCGCCUGCCUGGCCGGCCACCCUCGUCACGAGAGAGAGGGGUGCAUGUUGUAUAAUUGCGUGAAUUUUUAAUGUUUAAUUUCAUGUAAGUUUCAUAUAAUAAAUUGUACAAGUUUUAUUGUAUAUAUGAAUUCCAUAUAUAUAUAUUUAUAAUUUAAUGUAUGGUUUCAUGUGUAUAUUUCAAUAAUGUGUAUAUUUAGUAGAUAGCCGAUUUUCUUUUUCUACAAGACAAGGGUUGAUGUAUAAUUACGUGUAUAUGUUUAUUGUACGGGCAAUUAGGACAAGUUUUGUAUAAAUUUCUUUUAUUUCAUGGUUGUUGUAUGGUUUCAUGUAUAUACAUUUAUUGUACUACUUGAGACAAUUUUUAAUUUAAUGUUUCUAUGGUUACAUGUGUGUAUAACUAAUUGUAUUAUUAGUUAAGAUGGGAGCCAAAGAGGAUGAAAGGUAUAUAAUGGAGCAGAUUAUUGCUGGCGGUAGUGGCUCAAACGUUGCAAGAACCUACAUCAAGGGUGAGGGUAGCUAGGUGGACAUGUACCUCAACAUGUCCAGUGAUGGCAAUGACGAUGAGGAGCACGAGCAUGACGUUUAUGAUAGUGCGGAACAAGACAUUGCAGAAUUGGAAGGUUCUAAUGAGGUGUGCUUCAUGUUGAUGAUCUGGUUGGCUUUUUUUCUUUGGUCACACCUUAGUUACCAUAGAACUUCGUCUCGGGAGAAGAUUGGAGGUGCUAUGGUGAUUGGAAUUUUAUUGCCUCCAAAUAUGAUUUCCAUCGAAUCAUAUCCCUUGUAUUUAUCUUCUUUUUAUUUGUGAGAGCAUCUUCUUUAUGCUUGCAAAACAAUUCAAGUGCACAUACUACACCUAGGGUGAUGAUUAGGAGUAGAAACAAUUGCCAACAAACGAACACCACAUCCUAAGAUUCUUAACUUGUGGUAUAAUUAGUCUAGUAAAAAGAAAGAUAAAAACCUAAUGGGUGUACGUGAGUGCAAUGCGUAUAUGCAUAUGAGUGGAAGGCAUAUAAGCAAAGAUAAUAUUUACACAUAGAUCUAAGCACCAUGUUUACAACUAAGUUGCUGAAUUUCUCCAUAGCUAUAGAGAUUAAUGAACCAAGGUCAAAACACCAUGUCUAUCCCAAGAUCAGUAAUUCUUUAUAGCACAAGAAAAAGAAAGCGCAUUGCAAAGUUUAUAAACCAACCAAUGCAGCAUGAAAACAAGAUGAAUAGCUAGCAAGGUUUAUUAAACUGAAUGAUGACGGUCUGCAAGCAAGUUUGAACACCAUCUUUACACAAGAUUGCAAAUGGAAAAUUCCCAUAUGAAGAACUAACAUGGAUAUGAAAUCAUUCAUCAUAAAGCGUAAAGAACAACCAAGCCAACCAUAUGCAAAGCAUGAAUGGAAUGCAAUGAAGGUGCAAGAGAACAUUUUUGGAUGAACCCAUUAUGAUGAUGGCAAAAUGCGCCGUGCCCCCCAGCCCCCGCGGUGAGAUCCCGCCGCUCGCUGCCGCCAGACCCUAUUAGGCCUCCACCGGCAGGUCCACCCACGGUCCCGCGCGACGUGGCAGCCUCUUGGCUCUCGGCGCUCGCGGCACGCCAGUGCUGGCGCAGCCCCACCAGGCGACUACCCUCCCCCCAUAAGGCCUCGGCCCCUCCCCAGCGCCGCCCCCCAACACCAGGACUGCCUGCUGCCCCCCACCGUGAGGUAAUCGAAAUCGACUGCUCAAUCUCUCAAUCUGUUGAUAUGAUGCACACGGUUGCAAAAAUAGAUGUGUCAAAAUAGAUGUUUUGCCAAUUGCUAUAGAUGCAUACGGUUGACAUGAAGUCAAAAAUGACAUUUGGUUCCUUGUAGGCAGUCAAAAAUGAAGAAGUCAAAAAAUAUUGAUCUGAAAUCAAUGUGGGAAAGGGCUAUGAAGACACGCAGGUAGAUUCCCUUGUGAACUUUUUAUGUCGUUCGUCUAAAUAAUUUUUUGCAAUGGGCAUACCCUACUCUGAAAUCCUGGGUCCGCCACUGAUGAUGAUGGUCUAAAAAUAAACCAAGCCUAGAUUAAUUAGCCACAACUGAAAUUAAGCAAAGGUUAAUGUCAUUGACCCUAGCUCUAUCCUAGCUUUUACCAAAGUUCCGGCACAUAUAGUGGUUGGGCCCACUCUCUCUGCUUCCCUCUCUGCUGCAUGCACGCACACGAGCAACGGGAGGCCCGACGAAGCCCAGAAGGGUUCGGCCGAACCAGUAUGAGCGCCGCUCCCUCCCAGCCUUCGCGCAGAUGCUCCUCCAACGUUCCUUGACCCCUCCCUCAGCGUCCCGUUGGGUUUAACAUUGCAGGAGAGGAGUCCCUUUUUUAAAAUCUCAACCACCUCCUCUCCCCAUUCACUCCACUCUCAUCUCCAUCAAACUCACCAAGAUCCGCACCGGAAAUCCCUGCUUACCACCAUGGCUGGCAAAGCCCUCAUCCCUUUCACCAACUUGGGCUUGACCACUGAUCUCGAUGGGGAAAUCACUCUGGCAAAUAUGCGUGUAACACUGCCCCCUUUGCCGAGGGUUAAAGCCAAAACACUCAGCAAAGUGGAUAGUACCCCCCUUUUUACCCGUUUUGUCAUGUAUAACGGACCCCUCUCAAUUCACAAUAGACAUCAUCAUAGGCAUUUAUAAUAAACAAUCACAGGCAUAAUUCACAAUCACCAUUACAAGCAUUAUUCAUAAAUAUCACAGACAUAAUCCAAAGUAAGCAUGAAACAAGCCAUAAAUCCAAGUUCAAGUCACAACUAAGUUUCAUCCAAGUUCAAGUCACAAAUGCAAUGUCUAAAUCCAUGGAGGCCAAGGAGACCACUGCGACAAAUCUUGGUCUUCAUUAUUCGAAGCCGCCGAUUGAUUCUGCACAUAGGAUAGGACAUUCUGAGCUAACAUCUAAAGUUGUCAAAAUUAAAGUAUUCAAUCUUAAGCACAAUGUGUCAAAUGACUCACAGGAGUAGUUGUGGGUGGCUGAGGCGGAGGGAACAGCAUCGAUGGCGGUGGCAAAGAUUGACCCAUGCUCGAAGCAAAAUUCUGCAUGUACUGGAACAUCUGGUCCAUCCUCAUCCGAUUUUCUUCCUCCAUCCUCUGCCGCUCGGCCUCUAACCUCCGCUGAACCAUCUGCUCCAUCCUCGCCGCCAUCUCCUCUUGUUGCUUCCUUGCUGCUUCCACCUGGGCCUACAAUAUUUCAUUGCAAUGUUACAAUGCAAAGCUAAAGUAUAGCAACCAACGAACAAUGAAUGGAAGAGAAAGAACCUGGAGAGCCUCCAUCUGGAACUGUCCAAUGGUUGGUCGUAGCCGUAUCGCCGGGCUCGAGUCCGUGCUCCUUGCUUGGAUCUGGGAGAGAGUGGCAGUAGAGGCCGUGUUGAUUACGCCGUCGCCAAUCCAAUAUCGGCCAUGCUUCUUGCCUCCUCCCACCCUCAUCACGAUUUCUCCAUCAAUAUCCUCAGAGCUUGAAUCGAAGUCUGGCCCGUGAACCUCCCUUGCCAUCACUGUAUAUUCCUUUGCCGAGUGCCCGAGAUAAAGCACUCGGCAAAUAGAAAACACUCGGCAACUUUACUGUUUCCCGUAGUGUCGCUAUUUUUGCAGGUUCUCGACCAGGCCAGUUCUUUGGGCCAACCUAUCAUUCACGACUUAAACAUACGGUGGCUGUAGAAAUGUUCUAUUCUUUUCAACAAUACCAGCUGGUUCCUCCGUUUUUAUUCCACCAAUACAAGCACCACCUUGUAACAUUUCCUAUGUUUUUUUUUCCUUUCGUCUGUUUUCUACAUGCGUUGCUCUUUCAUGCAUUUUUUUCCAUUCCUGUAUUCCAAAUAGGUCUACAUGAACACAAAAUGAACUAGGGGACAGAAAAAGCCAGUGAAGCCAAUUUUGAGCUUCACCAGCUACUUGCUACAUAAAGUGUGCUAUAGUGACGUGUUUUAGCAAAACAUGUUAUCAAUGACUUGACAUUGGUGACGUGUUAAAACGCGUUAUCUCAAUGGCAAAUCAUUGGUGACGUGUUUUAAAAAAACAUGUCACCGUGAGAGUCAUUGGUGAAGGGUAAUUAUAAUGCGUCACUAAUGUUGUAGCAUUAGUUAUGAUAAUUUAGUAACGCAAAAAUCUACCAUCAGUAUUGAGCUUUAGAGCCAUCGCUAAUGUGGGUUUCUUACAUAGUGAUGCAAGCUCUACAAGGUGCUGUUGCUGCCAUUUUAAAGCAUCCCAUGACUACAUGUUAAUAACAUAGUUUACCAUAUAUCAUAAAAAUAUUAGUUACAAUAAGCACAUACGCAUGUGGAAGAGUCCGAAUGCACCGGUUGAGGACUAAACACAUUGAAUUACUAGAACCAAAUGUGUGUUUAGAACAAAGACAGGGGUCAAGGUUUGGGUAACCGCAUUAAAAACAUUGGAUUUUACUGUACAUGAACACUUAGUUACCAUUACCAUGCCUUGAGCACCUAGUUACAACAAACAUUAAUUUAGCCACUUUAGAGCUUCCAGAAUCGCUAUAAAUAAUAUACCUACGCCGUACCAUGAAAACAUCAAGAAGAGAGACGGAUACAUGGACCACCAUCAAGCGAGUAGUGACAGCACGCACAAGAAUACCCGGAACCUGUUAGCUUGUCUGUAGUGAUCUGUUUUCUUCCCCAUAAAAUCCAUGAGUAUUGCCACAAAUAAUGAAAGAGGCUGACCAAGCUAGCAAGGAGGUAGAGCAAACGUGAUACACGGCCUGCCAAGAUUGCCCUGGAUACGCCAAUAAGAGCGACAGAUACAUGGAUCACACCAAUAUGGUGAAACGUAUAUUCAUCACACAAGCAAAGCUGGUCAGUUUAUCCAUGGUCAAAUUGUGGUCUUUGUUUUCACUUGAGAGCUAAUUGAGGCACUAUAAUAUGGGCAGGCCUAUCUUCAACAGACAUGACAGCUACAGGGAACUUGACAUAAUUUGCUGGGCCGCCUGUGCACAAUUAUUUGUUUUAUUGUCCUUGCAUAGAAUGCUAAAAUACUCUUUACAAAAUGUUGGAUCUAAUAUUUGAAAUAUAGAGUAGUAAUCAUAUAUUGAUCAACAACUUGAAAUUAUCUGUACAUUCUCGGUGAAGCUGUUGAACUAAUUUUUGCAAAUUAUUAAUUCAUCUCAUUACGUAAAGAAAAAAGUAAGUGGAUAAGAUAUUUCGUGGACCACAUCACUGCAAACAUGUCAUGGAGAGACAGACCAAGGAGGCAGGACGUGAUACACGACUUACCCUAGGUUGCCGUGGAACCGCCAAGAAGAGAUACAGAUACAUGGACCACACCAUCUUGGGAGUAGUGACAGCAUAUAUGCAGAAGAAUACCCCGUGCCUAUUUGCAUGCAUGUCUCAAGUGAUCUGUUUUCUUCAGAAAAUACAUGAGCAUUGCCAGAAAGAAUGGCAAGAGACAAACAUGUCAUAGAGACUUGCAUGUCUUGCCUUGGAUACGCCAAGAAGAGGGACACAUACAUGGAUAACACAAAUCUAGUGACACGUAUAUUCAUCACAAAGGCAAAUCUGAUAAUUUUAUCCAUGGAGCAGACCAAGGAGAAAUUGAUGACGGACAUGUGAUCUCUGUAUUCAGUUGAAAGCUAAUUGAGCUACACUAAUAUGAGCAGGACUAUAUUCAAGAGACUUGUUGAGAGCUACAGGGAACUUGUAAUAAUUUGCUGGGCGGCCUGCGCACAAUGAUUUGUUAUACAUAGUUGAAAUAUUUCAAGAAUUUAUCAACCUCAUACUCUGAAACCCUUGGUGCAAUGUACUCUGCUUUCCGAGGUAGACUGUUCACGUAAAAUGAGGUCAUGCGUAAGACGGAAUCGGAUUGGAUUCACAGGGAAUCAGAUUUGGAUAGCACCUUUUAGCAGGUUUUUAGUCAAAUGCAAAUUCGGAUCCACAUGUGGUUGAAUGCGAGUUCAAAAUUCUACUUGGAUAUCCAUUUAAUUUAGGUGAUAGCAAUUAGCACAAAAUGUUGGAUGAACAAAAUCAUAGUUAGACAUACAAUUACAUGUAUGGUUAAAGUAUAAUACAAUACACCAAGAUUAUUCCUUGAAAAUAUUUCUUAAAAAUAUUAUAAUAAAUGAAUAAAUAUAAUUGUGGCCACCAACAAAUAGUCGGUGGUCGCUAAGUUGGAGCCAUUUCUGGUUACUAAUGCGGCCUUCUCCUCGACCAGCGACGACAGCUGAGCUUGUUCCUUCUGACACUAAAUCAUCAGAGUCUUCCCUCCACUACUAUAGAAUGCACCUUUAGCACCAAUUGGGAAAUCCCCUUCAGUAUUGGAUGCUGCAACCAGUGCUAUAUAUCAAAAUGGAGACUAAAAGCCUCGGUCUUGGGUACCGGUUGCAUAACGCAUUACUAAAGGAGGCAAAAGAGAAAUGUAACAAAAAAAAUAUUUUGAAUUCCAAGAAUGUUUCACUAUUCAAGAUGACUAGCUGAGAGUCAACAGACAAGAUACUAGGAAUGUGGGUGCUUGAAUGCAUUUGUACAGAGGUCAUACUAUUUACAAACUCUUCUAUGUUUCCAUAUGACUACCUACUUCAAUGUCACGCGAGCCAUUCAGCUGGACACAUGGCACACUAGCUUGCAUGUCGAAUCCAUGAUUAAUUAUUUCCACUUGUGAUCUCUUACCAGUAUUUGUCCAGACUAGAAACGUGCAACACAUUUUUAGGAUAUGGACACGCAUAUAUUUGGACUAGUAUACAGGUCACCUUUGGAUGCGUACAAGGAUGACCGGGAGGGACUAGAAAUGGUCUAGUUUUGAUUGGACUACAAAACUUUUUGUACAGUGAAUAGAGAAUAUAUAUUAUUGUUGGAAUACGAGGUAGGCUACACUAUCGCAAUUCUGAUAUUCUACCGCGUAUAACCAAGAAGAACUGUCGUAUAAGGAUCACGGGAUUACCACUCGACGCACUACUGGUGCGGAAGAUGUAGAUAUGCGUCGAUGCAGUGAAGACGAUCACGUAGUCGUAUGUAGUCGAUCAACGUAGUCGUACAUAGUCGAUCACGUCCAGCAGCUCCUCAGCAGCUCGUCCACGUGCAGCAAGAUCGCCUCCGGUACCGCGGCUCGUCGUUGGCUUGUCGUGGCUCGUCGACGGCUCGUCGGCGGCUCGUCCAAGUGCUGCAGGCGCAACACCUCCAAGGUAUCCACACGUGCAGGGAGGAAGCGUCGCAAGCCGGACUGCUAGAUCCACGAGUUGCAACAGGCGAGGGCGUGGGAGGCGCGGCAGGUGUGUUUCGCCAAAAAGGUGUAAACCCUAGGGCGCCCCCACCCCUCUAUUUAUAGAGGUUCCUGACGGGCCUCUGGAUCCGAGGCCCAUUAGUACUUCUAAACCUAAUCCAACUCGGAUCAGAUCCGAAUUGGGCUUCCAGCCCCUUAAGUGUGUGACCCUAUAAGUUCGGAUACGUAUAGACAUGGCCCGAGUACUCCUACUCGGCCCAAUAGUCGGUAGCGGCCUCUAGCAAGACGUGCCAACUCCUAUACGCACACGAAGAUCAUAUCAGACGAACCAUCACAACAUAAUAUACAUGCUAUUCCCUUUGCCUCACGAUAUUUGGUCUAGCUUCAAGCCGACCGCUCUUUCUCAGUCCUGUGAUUCGGAAUCCCUUUGUAGGUUAACUCUUAACCGUACGUAGCAUGGCCAUGCAUUUUCGGAUCUGAUCACUCGAGGGGCCCAGAGAUAUCACUCUCAAUCAGAGAGGGGCAAAUCCCAUCUUGAUUGACCAUGUCUCAUAGCAUGCUUCUUGACAAACCUAAAAACUACCUUUAUAACUUCCCUGUUACGGCGUAGUGUUUGAUAGCUCCUAAGUAGGUCGAUCCACAUCUAGAAUACAUGCGACAAUUUCAGGUCUAAGGACAAAGCGUAUAUGUUGUUUAAAGAGAGAACUACUUCUCGUGUUGGGUCAGUCCCAGCACAUGUCUCCACAUGUGUCCACAUUAUUAGUUCAACAUCUCCAUGUCCAUGACUUGUGAAACAUAGUCAUCAACUAAUACAUGUGCUAGUCUAAUAUUCAUGUGUGUCCUCACAUGAACUCCGACUAGGGACAACUUUAGAAUAACCAUACAAGUAAAGAGUUUCACAUACAAUUCACAUAAUUGCAAAUCAAUUCAAGUAGCCUUCAAUGGAUAUUCAAUGAACACAACAUACAAAUCAUGGAUACAAAUGGAAUAUCAUCAUCUCUAUGAUUGCCUCUAGGGCAUACCUCCAACAGUCUCCCACUUGCACUAGAGUCAAUCUAGAAGGUACCUAAUACCCAUAGCUCUUACAUGCGCAUCAUGCUUAGCCUGCGGGAGUGGUUUUGUCAACGGAUCAGAAAUGUUCAGAUCCGUGUGUAUUUUGCAUAUCUUGAUCUCACCCCGGUUAACGAAGUCUCGAAUGAGAUGAAAUCGCCGCAUUACAUGUUUGUUCUUCUGGUGGUUCCUUGGCUCCUUUGCUUGCGCAAUUGCCCCAUUGUUAUCACAGUAGAGAUUCAAUGGGCUGGACCCAUUCGGGAACACACCAAGCUCAAUGAGGAAAUUCCUUAUCCAAACACCUUCCUUCGCGGCUUCCGAAGCCGCGAUGUACUCGGCUUCUGUCGUAGAAUCGGCCACCGUCUCCUGCUUGGAACUCUUCCAACUAACAGCACCACCAUUUAGCGUGAACACAAAUCCUGUUUGUGACUUUGAAUCAUCUCUGUCGGUUUGGAAACUAGCAUCGGUGUAACCUGUUACAACGAGCUCCUCCUCACCUCCAUAGACGAGGAAUAUAUCUUUAGUCCUUCUCAAGUACUUAAGAAUGUUUUUCACCGCUGUUCAGUGACUCUCACCUGGAUCAGAUUGGUGUCUGCUUGUCAUACUUAGCACAUAUGAAACAUCUGGGCGAGUACUUAUCAUUGCAUACAUGAUAGAUCCAAUAGCCGAGGCAUAUGACACUCUACUCAUGUGAUCCCGCUCAUCAGCAGUCGAAGGACACUGAGUCUUGCUGAGAUGUAUGCCAUGUGACAUAGGCAAGAACCCUUCCAUGCUGAACCGCUUCAACACUUUGUCAAUGUAAGUAUCUUGGCUUAAACCUAUAAGCCUUCUCGAUCUAUCUCUAUAGAUCUUAAUGCCCAGAAUAUAUGCCGCUUCCCCUAAGUCCUUCAUCGAAAAACUAUUUUUCAGUGAAGUCUUUAUGGACUCAAGCAUAGGAAUGUUAUUUCCAAUCAGUAAUAUGUCAUCCACAUAUAAGAUUAGAAAUACUACAGAGCUCCCACUAACCUUCUUGUAAACACAAGACUCUUCUUCGUUCUUGGUGAAGUCAAACCCUUUGACCACUUCAUCAAAACGAAUGUUCCAACUCCUAGAUGCUUGCUUCAAUCAAUAAAUGGAUCUCUGAAGCUUGCAUACCUUUCCAGCAUUUUUCGGAUCGACAAAACCCUUGGACUGUAUCAUAUACACGUCCUCAGUUAGGUUUCCAUUCAGGAAAGCUGUCUUGACAUCCAUCUGCCAUAUCUCAUAAUCGAAAUAUGCAGCCAAACUUGAUUGUCUCCCAUGGACUCUAUUUCGGAUUGCAUGGCAUUCUGCCAUUUUUCGGAGUCUGGGUCCAUCAUUGCUUCUGCAUAUGUCACAGGCUCAUCAUUGUCCAACAAUAAUAUUUCCUGCAUUUCGCGGAGCCUUGCCGACCUUCGUGGUUGUGGCGGUGCUUCUCUUGCCAUGGGUAUCUCAACUUGUUCUGCUACGUUAGCAUCACUCAUUGAUUCUUGCCCGAUCGGCUCAUCUUGAACUUCUUCAAGAUGCACUGUCUUUCCACUCUUUUCUCCUUUGAGAAACUCUUUCUCUAGGAAAACCCCGUUCCGAGCGACAAACACUUUGCCUUCUGAUCAGUUGUAAAAAUAAUAUCCCAAAGUUUCCUUUGGAUAUCCCACGAAAAUGCACUUAUCCGACUUGGGUGCGAUCUUGUCCGACUGAAGUCGCUUGACAAACACAUCACAUCCCCAAAUCUUUAGAAAAGACAAACUAGGAACCUUUCCAGUCCAUAUCUCAUAUGGUGUCUUAACUACGGAUUUAGAUGGUACCCUAUUAAGUGUGAAAGCUGCUGUUUCUAGAGCGUAUCCCCAAAAUGACAACGGUAGGUCCGACUGGCUCAUCAUUGAUCGAACCAUGUCUAACAAAGAUCGAUUACGUCGCUCGGACACACCGUUUCUCUGAGGUGAUCCAGGCGGCGUAAGUUGUGGAACAAUUCCGCAACUCUUUAGAUGAUUGCUAAACUUGUGGCUCAAAUACUCGCCUCCACGAUCAGAUUGUAAGGCCUUAAUUUUCUUGACACGCUAAUUUUCAACUUCAUUCUGAAAAUCCUUGAACUUUUCAAAGGUUUCAGACUUGUGCCUCAUCAAGUAGACAUAGCCAUAUCUACUAAAAUCAUCAGUGAAAGAUAUGAAGUAUUGGAAUCCUCCUCUAGCCGUCGUGCUCAUUGGUCCGCAUACAUCACUAUGUACGAGUUCCAACAAGUCUACUGCUCUCUCAGGAAAUCCUGUGAAAGACGUCUUGGUCAUCUUGCCUAGCAAGCAAGCCUCACAUGUCUCGUAUGAUUCAAAAUCAAACGAAGUUAGAAGUCCAUCAGAAUGGAGCUUCUUCAUGCGUUUUUCACUUAUAUGACCCAAACGACAAUGCCACAAGUAGGUAGGACUCAAAUCAUUAGGCCGAGGCCUUUUAGCACUUACAUUACAGACAGGUGAACCAUCAAGAUUUAAAACAAAUAAUCCAUUCACAAUGGGUGCAAAAGCCAUAAACAUAUUAUUCUUAGAGAUCACACAACCAUUGUUUUCACUCGCAAAUGAAUAACCAUCCUUCAUCAAGCAUGAAGGAGACAAAAUGUUUCGACUUAAACUAGGAACAAAAUAACAAUUAUUCAACUCCAUAAUAAAUGCUGACGGGAGGUGGAGUUGCAUCGUCCCGACGGUCAACGCAGCAACUCUUGCAUUAUUGCCCACGCGGAAAUCAACUUCUCCUCUUUCCACGCUUCUACUUCUUAUCAUUCCCUGCAUCGAAUUGCAAAUAUGAGCAACCGAUCCGGUAUCAAAUACCCAAGAAUUAAUAAUUGUAUCAGCGAGAAAUAUGUUGUCUAUGACAUUAACAACAAGCGUACCUGAGGUAGAAGUACUCUUACUUCCUCCAUUCUUCAACGAAGCUAGGUACUGCUUGCAGUUUCUCUUCCAGUGACCAAGUUCAUGACAGUAAAAGCACUCUUUGUCUGGAGCAGGUCCAGGUCCAGCUUUAACCUUGGGCGCUCGCUGGGUUUGGCUUGGAAAUUCCAGCCUUGCCCUUCUUCUUCCAAGAAUUGCCCUUCUUCUUAAAGCUAGGCUUGUUCUGUAUAGCCAUCACAUGGCUAGUACAAGCGCUUUUCUUGAUGUCUACCUCUGCUGUCUUGAGCAUACCACACAGUUCAUUCAAACCCUUCUCCGUCCCAUGCAUAUGGUAGUUCGAGAUGAAGUUCCCAUAGCUAGGCGGAAGAGAUGAAAGAAUGAAGUCAGUGGCCAACUCUUUGCCCAUUGGGAAGCCCAGCUUCUCCAAUCGCUGAGUGUAACCAACCAUGUUGAUUACAUGUGGUCCUACUGCUGCGUCUUCUGCUAGCUUGCACUCCAGAAAAGCUUUGGACACAUUGAACCUUUCAGUCCUAGCCUGUGUCUGGAACAUGUCCUUGAGCGCCACGAUCAUAUCGUGUGCCUCAUGAUUUGUUUCGAACUGCAUCUGCAGCUCGGGUUCCAUGCAAGCAAGCAUAAGGCAGCUUACCUCAAGAUUAGCAUCAAAUGCCUUCUUGUAAGCAGCCUUAACGGCAGCAGAUGCAUCAUCAGCAGGUACUGGUGGUAGUGGGGUAUCUAGAACAUCUUCCUUUUUAUCGGCCCUGAGAACAAUUCUCAGGUUACGGAUCCAAUCCGAGUAGUUUGUUCCAUUCAACUUGUCCUUCUCAAGGACCGAGCGCAAAGCAAACGAUGUGGUGGUGUUGCUAGGUGCCAUUUAAUCUACAACAAAAGUAAUGCAAAAUACACUAAGACAAACGUAUCCAUGAUAGAGCAAAUUACAUUAAACUAUUUUAACAGAAUCUACUCCCACUAAAAUCAAUAUCCCUCUAUUGAAACUUAGUGAUUCAGGAUCCACAACUAACAAGUCUACUAGUGAGCUUUAGCAUCACCGCUAGCAAACGAGGUAGAUCGGUAAGCAACUUUUGCUAAUCAUAUCACAUAUGACUCCUGUUGUUGGGUGACAUCUCCAUGUCUCGGCGCCCAACCAUUAUGCCCCAAGGUCCUUAACCGUUAAGAUGACCUCGUUAAGCAAACCAACCCUUAUGCGUGUAAGUGUCCGACACAAACCCGUCUAGUCAAGGAAAACUAGUGGCACCCUAAUUUCAUAGACCCACCACUAAUUGUACAAGACAUGGGACGGUGCAAGUUUUAGUUGGGAGGGCAUACUAACUUAAAUUUUUUGUGAGGGAUCGUUCUACUUCUAACAUCACAGCAUGCAGAAAGUAAAACAUAAACAGAAUAGCAUUCACACAGCUGUGACACAGUAUGGCCCGUUUUUAUAUGGUGAUCUCCAUCUCCAUAGAACCUGUUCACCAUGGUGAUCUCCAUCUCCAUGUUCCAUGUGCGCCAUCCUCCUGGUGAGGAGUCCUCCAAGAACUAGAACAUGCUAUUACACCUAAUAGCUAGUAAAGAAUCUAGUAAUGAAGAUUACAUAGUUGCUUGGAUCAUCACAGAUUGGUACGCAGACCAUUAAAUACAAUAAAGUGACAACACAUAUGGCUCCUGCCGUGUUGCCGUACGCGCGACACGCAGGUCACGAAUGAGUUACACACAUGCAUCACAUACACAAGGGGGCCAUACUGAUCACAAGAUACAUACAUACAUCCUGCAAAACAGAGUUAGGCGUCCUAACGUUCCAAACUUCGAAGGCCCGAAACUCCAUCUUCCAAGCCGAAUUUGGGAAAUCUAAUUUUGCCGAAAACGGCAAAGCGGUUGAAUUUCAUGUGUAACUUUUUCUGUAGAUCAAUUUUCAUAUAAAAUUCGCCCCGAUCCGAGAUCGUACCGAAAAGUUACGGCUGAUUUACCGAAGCAUACGCAUACGGCAAAAAUUCCGACCCCGGCAGUAGAUCCCAUCUACUAUUGCACAUCUAAUGCGCCUGGCGUAUGAUCCUGGAUUUCGAUUCGACCAAUCAUAUUGAUCUUCGCUCACUGCAACUGGAAUUACGUGUAUCACUUAACUCGUCGGCGGCUCGUCGGCGGCUCAUCCAAGUGCUGCAGGCCCAACACCUCCAAGGUAUCCACACGUGCAGGGAGGAAGCGUCGCAAACCGGACUGCUAGAUCCGCGAGUUGCAAUAGGCGAGGGCGUGGGAGGCGCCGCAGGUGUGUUUCGCCAAAAAGAUGUAAACCCUAGGGCGCCCCCACCCCUCUAUUUAUAGAGGUUCCUGACGGGCCUCUGGAUCCGAGGCCCAUUAGUACUUCUAAACCUAAUCCAACUCGGAUCAGAUCCGAAUUGGGCUUCCAGCCCCUUAAGUGUGUGACCCUAUGGGUUCGGAUACGUAUAGACAUGGCCCGAGUACUCCUACUCGGCCCAAUAGUCGGUAGCGGCCUCUAGCAAGACGUGCCAACUCCUAUACACACACGAAGAUCAUAUCAGAUGAACCAUCACAACAUAAUAUACAUGCUAUUCCCUUUGCCUCACGAUAUUUGGUCUAGCUUCAAGCCGACCGCUCUUUCUCAAUCCUGUGAUUCGGAAUCCCUUUGUAGGUUAACUCUUAACCGUACGUAGCAUGGCCAUGCAUUUUCGGAUCCGAUCACUCGAGGGGCCCAGAGAUAUCACUCUCAAUCAGAGAGGGGCAAAUCCCAUCUUGAUUGACCAUGUCUCAUAGCAUGCUUCUUGACAAACCCGAAAACUACCUUUAUAACUACCCUGUUACGGCGUAGCAUUUGAUAGCCCCUAAGUAGGUCGAUCCACAUCUAGAAUACAUGCGACAAUCUCAGGUCUAAGGACAAAGCGUAUAUGUUGUUUAAAGAGAGAACUACUUCUCGUGUUGGGUCAGUCCCAGCACAUGUCUCCACAUGUGUCCACAUUAUUAGUUCAACAUCUCCAUGUCCAUGACUUGUGAAACAUAGUCAUCAACUAAUACAUGUGCUAGUCUAAUAUUCAUGUGUGUCCUCACAUGAACUCCGACUAGGGACAACUUUAGAAUAACCAUACAAGUAAAGAGUUUCACAUACAAUUCACAUAAUUGCAAAUCAAUUCAAGUAGCCUUCAAUGGAUAUUCAAUGAACACAACAUACAAAUCAUGGAUACAAAUGGAAUAUCAUCAUCUCUAUGAUUGCCUCUAGGGCAUACCUCCAACAAUUAUUUCAUGUAAAUUUUUGACAAUUUUUUAAAAUUGUUUGAUAUUUUUUAAAUUUUUUUUAAAAUAACUUUGCCGAGUGUCCUAUUGUAGACACUCGGCAAAGCAGCCUUCACCGAGUGUUACCCCUGGGACACUCGGCGAAUUAAUGCCCGGCCGCUCAAGAAUAUGUGCCCGGCCCCCUCACUCUCCCGGCCCCCCUCACUCUCACUCCCCUCACUCCCUCCUCUCUCCCUCCUCUCUCCCUCUCGCCGCCGCCCGAAACCCCCGCCGCCGCCCGCCGCCCGGCAUGCCGCCCAGCGCCCCCCGCCGCCGCCCGGCGCUCCCGAAUCCGCCGCCGCCCGCCCGGCGCCCGGCCCCCGGAUCCGCCGCCGCCGGCCGCCCGGCGCCCCCGGAUUCGCCGCCGCCCGCCCGGCCCCCGGCCCCCGGAUCAGCCGCCGCCCGCCGCCCGGCGCACGGCGCCCCCGGAUCCGCCGCCGCCUGCCCGGCGCCCGGCCCCUGGCCCCCUGAUCCGCCGCCGCCCGCCCGGAUCCGCCGCCGCCCGCCCGGCGCCCGGCCCCCGGCCCCCGGAUCCACCGCCGCCCCCCCGGCCCCCGGAUCCGCCGCCCGCCCGUCCCCUCCACCGGAUCCGCCGGCGCCGGGGCCUGAAGAGAAGAGAAGAGGAGAGGAUGGUGGCGGCGGCGGCCGCGGCGGCGGAGCAGGUGGCAGAGCAUGCAUGAUUUUUUUUUAUUUUUUCAAUAAUUGUUCGCCAAGUGUUUUCUGGGCACUCGGCAAAGUCUUUGCCGAGUGCCCGACACAAAACACUCGGCGAACCAGUGUUUGCCGUCAAGAUUUUUGCCGUGUGUCGUUUGCCGAGUGUUACACUCGGCAAACGCUUUGUCGAGUGUUUUUGGGGUUUCGCGGAGUGACCCUGGCACUCGGCAUCACGCAUGUUUCCCUUAGUGAACUUGAAAUUAUCUGUACAUUCUCGGUGAAGCUGUUGAACUAAUUUUUGCAAAUUAUUAAUUCAUCUCAUUACGCAAAGAAAAAAGUAAGUGGAUAAGAUAUUUCGUGGACCACAUCACUGCAAACAUGUCAUGGAGAGACAGACCAAGGAGGCAGGACGUGAUACACGACUUACCCUAGGUUGCCGUGGAACCGCCAAGAAGAGAUACAGAUACAUGGACCACACCAUCUUGGGAGUAGUGACAGCAUAUAUGCAGAAGAAUACCCCGUGCCUAUUUGCAUGCAUGUCUCAAGUGAUCUGUUUUCUUCAGAAAAUACAUGAGCAUUGCCAGAAAGAAUGGCAAGAGACAAACAUGUCAUAGAGACUUGCAUGUCUUGCCUUGGAUACGCCAAGAAGAGGGACACAUACAUGGAUAACACAAAUCUAGUGACACGUAUAUUCAUCACAAAGGCAAAUCUGAUAAUUUUAUCCAUGGAGCAGACCAAGGAGAAAUUGAUGACGGACAUGUGAUCUCUGUAUUCAGUUGAAAGCUAAUUGAGCUACACUAAUAUGAGCAGGACUAUAUUCAAGAGACUUGUUGAGAGCUACAGGGAACUUGUAAUAAUUUGCUGGGCGGCCUGCGCACAAUGAUUUGUUAUACAUAGUUGAAAUAUUUCAAGAAUUUAUCAACCUCAUACUCUGAAACCCUUGGUGCAAUGUACUCUGCUUUCCGAGGUAGACUGUUCACGUAAAAUGAGGUCAUGCGUAAGACGGAAUCGGAUUGGAUUCACAGGGAAUCAGAUUUGGAUAGCACCUUUUAGCAGGUUUUUAGUCAAAUGCAAAUUCGGAUCCACAUGUGGUUGAAUGCGAGUUCAAAAUUCUACUUGGAUAUCCAUUUAAUUUAGGUGAUAGCAAUUAGCACAAAAUGUUGGAUGAACAAAAUCAUAGUUAGACAUACAAUUACAUGUAUGGUUAAAGUAUAAUACAAUACACCAAGAUUAUUCCUUGAAAAUAUUUCUUAAAAAUAUUAUAAUAAAUGAAUAAAUAUAAUUGUGGCCACCAACAAAUAGUCGGUGGUCGCUAAGUUGGAGCCAUUUCUGGUUACUAAUGCGGCCUUCUCCUCGACCAGCGACGACAGCUGAGCUUGUUCCUUCUGACACUAAAUCAUCAGAGUCUUCCCUCCACUACUAUAGAAUGCACCUUUAGCACCAAUUGGGAAAUCCCCUUCAGUAUUGGAUGCUGCAACCAGUGCUAUAUAUCAAAAUGGAGACUAAAAGCCUCGGUCUUGGGUACCGGUUGCAUAACGCAUUACUAAAGGAGGCAAAAGAGAAAUGUAACAAAAAAAAUAUUUUGAAUUCCAAGAAUGUUUCACUAUUCAAGAUGACUAGCUGAGAGUCAACAGACAAGAUACUAGGAAUGUGGGUGCUUGAAUGCAUUUGUACAGAGGUCAUACUAUUUACAAACUCUUCUAUGUUUCCAUAUGACUACCUACUUCAAUGUCACGCGAGCCAUUCAGCUGGACACAUGGCACACUAGCUUGCAUGUCGAAUCCAUGAUUAAUUAUUUGCACUUGUGAUCUCUUACCAGUAUUUGUCCAGACUAGAAACGUGCAACACAUUUUUAGGAUAUGGACACGCAUAUAUUUGGACUAGUAUACAGGUCACCUUUGGAUGCGUACAAGGAUGACCGGGAGGGACUAAUGGAUACAAGGAAGGGACCAUCAGGAUUAAUAUUGACAUAUGCCACAUGACAAUCUUCAUUGUCAUGCAAUCCCUAUCAACAAUCAUGGAAUCCCUAGUGUACUAAUCCCUGGAGGGUUGUGUGGAAAUUUAUUUUACCUUGCGGUGAAAAUCUCAUGAGCAGUCAUUAGUUAAGCUGACUAGCUGAGAUAUAAUAGACAAGCUAGUAAGAUUGGGAGCAUCAAUGCAUCCAUACAGGGUCACAAUAUCCUUUCCAUUCACUUUUAUAUAUAACCCUACGAAUACAAGUCCAACGAAAUGCGGGCCUUUCGAUCAAGAUAAAUUAAAUGGCCCACUUGUAUUUCUAAUCCAGGAUUAACUAUGCCCUCUGUUCAUCUCUUGCAAGCACGUGCAACACAUUUUCACGAUAUGGACAUGCAUGGAGGUUAUUAUACUGUUUGGACAAACUCUGAUGUGCCAUGACCUAAAUGCUUAGGGCCUGUUUGGUUUGAGUUGCUUAUUAUAAGCAACUUAAAGUUGCUUAAAGUUGCUUAUUUGAAGUUGCUUAUUUUUAGUCUAAACUGUUUGGAUACCCUUGCUUAUGAGCAUUGAAUGAGUUGGACAUUGUCAAAUUUGCCCCAUGUGUUGCUACCCCUCCAAUUUGCCUCCCCACCCUUCUUCUUCCUGCACACGUCCGAUCCCGGGGGCCGACGGCGGGCAGGGAGCAGCAGCAGCUGGCCAGGGCGGCGGUGGGGCGGGAGCGGCGGCGCACACCAGCACGCGCUCGCACGCCAGGUGCUAGGGCGCGGCGAGGCAGUCGUCGUAGCCCACCGGGAGCGGGUGCUCGGGCGCGAGGCGGUACUCGACGGAGAUGCCGAGCGUCGGGCGCGCGGCGGCGAGCGCGUUGAGGAAGCGAUGGUAGUGCGGCGACGUCGCGGACUCCGCCACGAAGCCGCCGCCGUGGACGUACACCACCACGGGCAGCUUCGUCUUGCCGUCGGCGGCCGCGGCCGCGGCCUGGGGUGGCAGGUAGAGGCGGACGGAGCAGGAGCCGAGGUCGACGUCCCUGGAGUCGACGCCCGUGGCGGCGUCCAGGCUAGGCCCGACCGGCGGCGGCACGAGCGGGCGCUCGAUGCGGCCGCUCUUGUAAAUCCGACGGGUCUGUGCGGAGGCGGGCGGCGGGCGGGAGCGGCGGGUGGGAGCGGCGGCAGGUGGUGCGGAGGCCGGCGGCGGCGGGUGGCGCGGAGGAAGGGGAGCUGGUGAGUGGUGACAGGGGAGGGGGGGAGAGAGAGGGGGGGGUAGGGUGCAUUGAAUGAGGGCAGGAGGUGUAAAGUGCACCUUUUAGUCCCCAUGAGCAACCAUAAGCAGCCCAAGAGUUGCUUAUUUGCUUAUAAUAAGCAACCUCAUAAGCAAGAGUGAUUGGUUUCAUAAGCAACUUAUUUGCUUAUUUUAAGUUGCUUAUGCAUAAGCAUGUGAAACCAAGCAGGUCCUUAACCUAUGGUUGUGGCACCACACAGUACAUAGUAUUUAAUAAUGCUAUUCGUUUGGUAUGUGCACAAGGGCACGCAUGAAAUGUCUGGCCCACGGUAAACAAGUACGGACGCUGCAAAUAAUCUACUCUGCUCGUCCAGUCCCUAGCCUAUAAAUAGAUGCCAUGCUAGCUCUUGUUGUGCUCACAAUUAAUCCUGACUACACACGAGCUUCUCUCCCUGGCCAAGACACAAUCAUAGUAUGAUGAAGAACAUGGCACUAGCCGGCAAUGGUAUGAAGAACUUAAUCCUCGCUGUUCUCUUACUGUGUCUAGUUAUAGGGCAGAUACAAGUGGAAGCUAAGAGCUGCUGCCCAUCCAUUACUGCAAGAAAUAUCUACAAUGCCUGCCGUAUCACGGGUACAUCCCGUCCAACGUGUGCAAAACUGUCAGGCUGCAAAAUUAUCAGCGGGGACAAAUGCAAGCCCCCUAACGACCACCUCACCCUUGACCCGGACACUGGUAAAUAAUAAAUUUAUCUCACUUGAUUUCUUCGUGUUUUGAGUCGUUAAUGUAUUUUCCAUCUGAUGAAACGUAUUGGUUUUGCAUUGAAGAGGAAGUUAAUGUGCUUAACUUCUGCAAGUUGGGGUGUGCGUCGUCUGUGUGCAACAACAUCAACG